rnacentral:lncRNA from 1 species
UUUUUUCUUUUGUUAAGUAACGGUUCAUGCAUAUUUUACUUCCACAUCCCAUUUCUACUUUGUCAAAAGAGAGGCAAAGUUUUUAUUUAAAAAAAACAGAGACACAAAAGUUUCUGACAAAAGAAUGCAAGUGAGUUGCUCAUGCAAGAUACUUGUAAUGUCGGUAAGUGAGGACAAAAUAAAACGUACUGGGGCAACGAGGAGAAUGCAUCGUUGCUUUGGCAAAUUCAAAUGUUUCCCGGAAAAUAUGGAACGACCCUCUUUUGAGAAAGGUGCAAAGGAAAAGGCACUUUUUUAGGGGGGGAUUUGGUUUGGUUUGGUUUGGUUUGCUCCAAAAAUAAUUGGAUAGUGUGCAUCUCGAGGAGCCUUGUAAUAUAACACAAGGCAUAAAUCCUUUUGGCAAGCAAUUAUCGUAAAGAAAUAGUAUAGGGCAUAACACAUGCGAGAACUUUGAGCUGGAAGAAUUUUUUUUUUUAGGAAAAAGGAGGGUCCCAACUCCCAAGCAGCCAGGCGAAAAAAGACAAGAAAAGGUGGUGGAGCCAAUAAUCCUACAAGAGUGUAACCACUCUUGAGUUGUGUGACCCGUGAGGGCGUGUUCGUUCACGUGUGGCGUGAAUUGUGUACGAUGUCUGCUAGGUGAUGCUCUCUUCCUGCCUGCUGCUUUCGUUGACCUCUUGGUUGAGUCAGAAUUUGGGAGCUGCCGCGUGGGGUGCGUAGCGGGGUCCGCCCGACCGACAAGGCGCACGCGUAGCAAGGACUCGUUGCCGAGGAUGAAAGGAGGCAACAGCAAGGCGCCUUAACAACAGCGUCUAGUAACAAAACAGAGUGGCAGCGCGUAGGCUUGGCGUCCCUGCUUCGUCCAUCCACAUCCUGCCCGCACACAUGCCCUCCUUGCUACGCUACUGGUGGAUCAUAAUCGCGCGGCAGCCAGCCAAUAGCAACACAUGAAUUCAAAUGCCAAAUCAACUUCAAACACCAAAUAGCUAGGGUCAUCACAACUCAAGUCCCUUAACAACAAAAGUACCAACACCAGUACUACUUGGUAACCGUCUCUUGCCAAUACCCAGCCUUUCAAACCUUCCAUCCUUCUUGCCGCUCGUCGUACCUUUCAAUCUUCUCCACGUCAAAACAUAACAAGCUUCUACCAGCUAACCUUCAACCAACAUCACACAGAUGAAGCGACACACUUUCGACCGCCACUUUCUAUCGGCGGCACAUCAAACCCGUUUCACAUUAGCCGCUACUGGCAGGCGAUGCCGACCUGGACCGUGACCCUGGAGGCGACACCGAUGGGCGGGGCGACCUGCGGCGACCACCACGGGGCUCCUCGUCCUCCUCUGCUGCUGCGACUGGAGACUUCCUCCUCCUGUCAGACAUUUACAAUGUUACUACCGCCGUGCAUAAACAAAUGCCAAAACGAAUCACACUCAUAUGGACCACCAUGUAAAUAAUCACCUAUUUUAACCAAACAUACAAGGUAAAACUGAUCCAGAUCAAUAAUUGUGACCCUAGAUUAACCCAUAACCUUACUUCAGUUACAUGACUCAAUAUGUAGAGUUAAGACUUAAAACAGCUCAGAGUUUAGGGUUCACAAACAUGUUGGUUCAUAUGAUUGUCAUUCUUUUUGGCAUUCAGCAGCAGAGAAGGAACAGAACUUACUCAUCAUGACCAUUGUCUGCACCACGACGAUCAUUCCUAUCCUCAGGUGUAUAUGAUCUCCGCUUCUUAUCACCAUCAUGUUCUUUAGGCUGCUUCGAUGUCCUUCUGUGCUCUUCCUUAGCCCGUGCUGGGGAAGCAGAGUAAUCAUCACGCCUUCUGGGGGCUGGAGAGUAUGACCUGCAGCGUAUGUAGCAUCAUUUUCGUCAACCUUAUUGCACAGGAAACCAUGGUCAAAAACAUCAUAGAAAAACUAGUUAGUUGACGUACCGGGAUCUAGCACGGCCACGGGGGCGCGGAGAGCGUGAACGUGAGUAUGAACGAGAACGAGACCGACCUGCACCAGACAUAGCAACUUGUCAGCAGAGGAAAUCAUGGUGUUCAAAACGGCAUCCAGGAUCAUAUCAAUUGUCAACAACACAUUUUGCUGCAAGCAGGUGCAGUCUUCAAAGAUGGAAAUAAAAUCUUGGACAUGAUAGAACAGCAUCGCAUGAUUCAUCAAGCAUGAUAUUUAAUGGAUUACGACCAAACCUAUAGUCUUCCUGAACUUCAGAAUUAAUCAAACAGCAACAGCUAAGCAUGGACAAGGCAUCUUUCCUAUAAAUAGGAUAAUGGUGAUGUAAACUAGACUAGCAGUCAGAUGUGCAGCUCAAAUAACAGGACACACAAUAACUCAAUAAGCACAACAUCUGGGAAUAGUAACUUAGAUUACCACGGCGAGAAGGUCGACGCCCUUCAUGAUCAGAAUAACCUCUGCAGAGAUACCACUCAAGUCAUCUCAAAUGAAACACAGAUGGGAGCUUACUAAACAGCAAUGUGUAAUGGCAUACCUUGGCCCCAUUCGUCUACGCAUGUCCUCAGGCCUUUUCCGUGUAUCCGCAGCAAGAACAACAGUGAUCUCACGCCCAGAAAACAUCUGGCGGUUCAUGUGGUAUUGCGCCUCAGAAGCAUCAUAAGCAUCAACAAACUCCACGAAUCCAAACCCCCUUGGCUCCCUAAAUGAUGAAAAAAAAAGCUUUGAUGAGUAAAAUUCACAUAGUAUGGCAUGGUAAACAAAGAAUAUAGCACAUAUUGAUCAUGAUAGCAUGUGCCCCACAAGUUACCACCACAGUUUCAUAGUAUCAGUGGAUCCUCUACAAUUAUCCAUGAAGCACAGCUAACAACUUACAAACAUGUUCAUCAAAUGGUAGCAAGCCUCUCAAAAAGCGGUUAGGAGCCCAGGCUCAUCUUAGACCCAAAUUUUCUUGUGUGCAUCUUCAUAAAAUGAUUCGCUUCAAGUUCUUCAAGCGUUUGAAAAGUCAUGAAAGUGCUUGAAACCAACUUCUCUUCAUUAUAUCUUCCCAUGGAAGACACGGUUAAACCCUCUUGUCUUGAUGAAAUUAAUUUUGUCGACAAAUUGAACCUUGUCUUGAUAAGAGAACUUCAUUCGCACAAUACUCUAUCUCACCAAGCAAAUGAACGAUUAGGACUGUUCAGGGCUUGUAUUUACUUCAACCAAAUACAAUCCUGGGAAUAUAUUCAAGAGAGUAAUUCGUACCAGAAGAAAGUAGCAUCAUAUAUAAAGUAAAUAUAUCCUGUACAGGAAAUCCAUUUCAAAGUUGAAGACUUCCAGGAGUUACUAGGCGUACUCCUACAGGUUUUGCAUUAAGUUAUCCUAUGAUUUAUAAAUUUUGCAACAUGUGCUUAUACAAACAAGAAUAAAAGGGUAGGUCAGAGUCUUUUUAUGCAAAAUUGUUAAACUAGGACAAUUUACUCACAGAUUGGCACUUCAUUGAACAUUUGUGACAAGUGAGCCUAUGACUGAGAGUACAUGUCCAGCAAACUCUACAACCCGGGAAAAUGUUUGGAUUCAUGCAGACAUCAACAAUCGAAUUUCUGUAUGAGGGUAUAACAACCCAAACAUCUUAGCUCUUAAAUUAAAAAGCAGCAGCAGCAACACCUUAUAUUAGCUGUAUAUAAAAGCUGCAGCAAGAAGGAAAAAAAAGGAGGUUUAAACUCGCACGUGCUUUUGCCCCCAAGCGUUUCGACAUGUUUAAAUAUUGAUAUCCGAUCAUCGCAUGCAGAUGUAACGGAUAGAAUAAGGAUGGCACGUAAACCAACCAUAUACAAGCCUUGUGGCUCCAUUUAACACUUACCCAGUGUGAUAGUCUCUUGGCAGGUACACGUCCCUCACAGGACCGAACCUUUCAAAGGGAACUCGGAGCUCCUCAGGCCUGCAAAGUUGUGUGUUAAUGAACCAUUAGUACUGAGCCAAUUUAACAGGCAACACGCCGAAAACAAUCGGAAAGGAGGAUGGCAACAAGGCCAGAGUGUGCAUACCUGCAUCUCAGUGGGAUGUUGCGGACCAGGAGGCUGACAGAACCUUGGUCACCGCCACGCCCACCACGGCCGCCGCCGCCGCCGCCUCCGCCACCGCCACCGCCGUACCCUCUCCUUGGCGGCGGGCUUCUUCCCCUGCCACCAUGUCCUCUCCUAGGAGGGCUAUGGUACGCGGGGCUGUACCUCCCCAUUGCUGCUGGUACCUGCACAUAUGCAUUGCGAAUUCAUUGUCGCGGCUCUUGGAGAUGAUGGGCAGGAAGCAAAUCCAGGAUGGUGCGUAUACGCAUCACCAUCAUGAAAUGAAGGAAUCAGGAACAAAUCAAGAUUCGGGCACAUAAGUUAAGGUUGUGGAUUGAGGAGCUACAGUGCGCGCAUCUCUCAAUCGAGCCAAUUCAUGGUAAACGGAUAGAUCGACGCGACCGCUGAAAAAUUAAAGCGGAUUCCUGGCAGCUAACGCCGAGUCCGCCCGGCCAUCAACCGCAUCAAGAGCGAGGCGCUGUUGGGAAGCAUUCGAAUCACAGGGGCGGAACCCUAGGUCAUGCGCUUCUACCCUGGUUCCUAGAGCGCGCGGAAUCGCCGCGAAGCGCGGACGAGAGAGGGGAGAAAGAGGGAGAGGGAGAGGGGGGUUACCGCUGGAGAGCCGGUCGACGCCGCCGCCGCCGCCGCAGCCGGUGGAGAUGCGGGAGGGAGGGGAUUAGGGCAACAGGAGAGGACCCGUGAGGUGGAGAAGGGGCGAAGGAUAUACUAGUCUGGGCCUCCUUGCCUUAAAUGGGCUUUAUGGGCUUACUAUACACCUUGCUUUUUUUAGUAGGCCCCGUAACAACACACUGUCCUCUGUGUACGGUGAUACGGGCUUUGAGCUUGUGCUUCCUUUCUUAUCAGGAUCACCUAAAAUAAGGAGGAGCCGGAGGAGCAAUAUUUUAUUGCACCGGCUCCUCCAGUACUUAGAGGUGGAGUUACUGUUUAGUAGAGCUUUAGCUGGAAUCGUAAGAGAAGUCGGAGGUGGAAAUUAUUCGAUAGCGUGUCACGGAUGUGAAGAAAUAACCUGAGUUGUGCAAGGCACCACCAAUGAAUGGAAUGGAGAUGGCAAUGCUCAAAUGGUGUACUGGAUGAACCCUGCAUCUAUUCCUUCAUCAUGUACACAAAAGAAUGACAAACGUAUGGUACACAGGGCAUCAGCAAAGAAUGGCAAACAAUGCUAGGUGCAACGCUGUCGGCAGAGGUCGUCCCUGCGGUCCGGUGACGCGCCGCCGGCGCCGGGGAUGAGGAAGGUCCGGUUCCUGCCGUUGCCCCCCUCGCAGACGAGGCUCAGCGUGUUCCCCCCCUGCACGGUGGUGGUGCUACACUAGGUCGGCGACGAGUCGCACUUCCAGCGCUUGGUGGGGACGCAGCUGAGGUAGCGGCACCAGGAGCAGUGCUCGUUGGCGUUGUAACCCCGGAACAGCAGCACGGUCGCCACCGCGAACCCGACGACGAGCAGCACGGCGGCGGCCGCCCACAGCACGUACUGGUACGUCUUGUGCUUGCGCUUCACCGCACCACCAGCAGCACCAGCUGGAGGAGGAGGAGGAGGAGCACCACCAGAAGCAGCAGCAGCCGCCGCCGCCGCCGCCACCAUUCUCUGGUGGUCGAGCCAUGCGAACUGGGGGCGGACGAGGAAGACGAAGCCGAGGAGGAAGCCGGAGACGAGGCCGCCGAUGUGGGCGAAGUUGUCGACGUGGGGGAGGAUGCCGAGGGCGAGGUUGACGGCGAUCACCAGCACCAGCGACGCCAGGGCGGCCGCCUUGUUGGCGUAGAGCGACCAGUUGGUGAUCAGCUCCGACAGCAUCGACCCGAUCAGGCCGAACAGAGCACCCGACGCGCCCACGGAGACGACGCUCGACCGGAUGAACAGGGCGGACAUCAGGCUCCCGCCGAACCCGGAGAUCAGGUACACCAGCCCGAUCCGCGCUGCAAGCAUCACGCAUUGUGAUUCAGUAAGAUUAUCUUGCUGCUGCAUGGAAUUCUUUCUUCAGCAAAAAAAGAAGAAGAAGAAGAAGAGUAAAAGUACUUACCGAACCCGAAUUCUUGCUCCAGCCGUAUGCCGAUGAACACGAGGCAGAGCAUGUUGAUGAGCAGAUGAACAACUCCGGCGUGAAGCCACAUGCACGUGAUCAGACGCCAUCCUUGCCGGCCAUGGACGACCUUGUACACAUGGAGAGCGCCCAUCUUCACCAACCUGCCAUUCAGUUUUUUUUUUUAAAAAAAGAAAGUUAUUUUUGUUUUAGCCUCUAUAUCUGUAUUAUUAUGUGAUCCAAACAAAUUAGUAGUGCCACUUAAGAAUGUAAAAUAACAAAUUGUUAGCAUAGGUAACGAGAUCAUUUUUUAUUCCUCUGAAAAACGGGCUGAAAGUGAAAUCCUGAAUUUGAAGUCACAAAUGGCAUCACCGUUCACCUACUCUUCUUUGACCUUGCAGUUGCAGUAACUACUCUGAUAAGUUCAAAUAUUUGGUUGUAUUUUUCACGAAGUAGCAAAAGCGUCAGUUUCCGAUAGCGAUGUGACCCGAAAAGUCAUCAAAUUACAAACUCAGCAGCAUAGCAAGGAAGGCUACUGCACGCUUUCAGCUUUCAAGGUGAAAGUUCAUCAUCAGUAAGUGAAGAAAACGGUAGGUUCCUAACGAAACGUGUGGGCAAGGUUUUCUUUUUGUUCUGGAAAUGUCAAUGUGAUCAUAGUGGCAACCGCAGCAGGAGAAGAAGGGAAUUGCUGAACAAUUUGGCGACAGCAUCCAUCCAUUCAUGUAUCUAGAAGCCAGGCUUUGCUUGUCCAAGAAUGAAGGAACCUGAUGGCUUUGCUUGCAAGCAGGCUAGCAGAGGCCGGAAGAACUGAAAUGGAAUUGGAAAGCAGAAGAAAAAAAAAACAAGAGUAAGUAAACGUACGUUGCGGAUGAGGGCCCGAGGAGCGGGUUCUCCUUGAGCGGCUGGAAGGCGAACCGUCCGAGGAAGCCGGCGGCGCAGUUGGAGUUGUGCUUGGGGCAGUCGUUGACGUACAUGGUGACGAGGAAGAGGGCGACGCAGGCGACGGUGGCGGCCGACACGAGCCACGGCGACCACCGCCGGUAGUAGGGCCGCGCCCUGAUAAGUUGUUGCCCCUGCCUGGGAACGGGAUGGUGAUCGGGGGGGCGGCGGUUCUCGUGGGAGUAGGGGCGCUCCACCAGCACCUGCACGUCCUCCUCGCCGGCGCCAGGCUUCAUCAUCGGAUUAAUUGGUCGGCUGGUUGAUCGGUUGGAUCGGAGGAGGAGAGGCGGGGGCGGCCGGAGGAAGAGGAGAGGAUUGGAAGCAGGGGACGGGGGGAAGCGUGGGUGGCGAGCGUGAGGAGGAAGGAGAAGAAAGGAGAGGAGAGGAGAGCAGGGGAGUUGGCGUGUUGACGGCCGGCUGGGAGAAGAAAAGGCGGCGUGCAGCAGGAGGAAAACUGGUGAGCAGGGGAGGCUUUGCUUUGUCCCGGUGGCCGGUGGUGGUUCGGCUGCGCGUUCCUUUUUCCCUCACCUCCGGCCCGUCUGGGUGAGCCGCUGCAACCACCGCACCCAGUCGCUCGCUCCAUCCAUCCCUCUGUGGUUUCAUCGCUUCGCGUGGCAUUUAGUUCAUAGAAUAAUAAUAAUAAUAAUAAUAAUAAUAAUAAUAAUAAUAAUAAUAAUUUUUGGCUGGCAGCGUGUUUGGCUGCUGCUGCUGCUCGGCUCUCUGUCGCAGUAGCUGUAGCACGCAAGCUACAGCAGGCAGCAGCUCUCUGCUGCAGCAGCAGCCAGCUGCAAAGCAGCCAACCGACGAGCAUAAUAAUAAUAAUAAUAAUAAUAAUAAUAAUAAUAAUAAUAAUAAUAAGCGGAGGAGAGGAACGUAACGUUGUUAAUUAGAGUCCUAGGUUGAUUGAACUGCAGCAUGUCAAACUAAGUACAUGUCACCUAGGUAAGCUACACAUGCAUACGGUCGGGAAUAAUAUUAUCUACUCUAUCUAACAAAUUAAUGAUUAAUAUUGGUUCAUUAAUUUUUACUUUCCAGGUCGUAGCCGAUGGAUACGCACGCACCUGCUGCAUCGGACGGGAUCGUUUCAACACUUUGUGCGCUUGACUUUUGGACCCCAGCUCGCCGCUGGCUGCUUCCUGCGUCACCUCAACCUCUCAGCGUGUGCAAACGCAACCAAUCUCAGCGUCAUCAAGACCAAUAGCUUGAUUGAACGGACCCAAUGCAAUUGCAAAUGGUGACACAAGUCAAUGCUCGUGCGGCCUAAGCAAAUUCAUCGAAUCAAACCCAUGGCCCCAUGGAUUCUCUUUCCAUCUCCCAUGCAUACAUCUGUCUCCUAGGUUGUUGUUUUAGCCCUUCCCUGAUCUUGCGCUGCAAGCAAAUGAAAAGAAAACUAUACCUCAUACAUGAGGUCAUUCAACCUGUUCGCUUCAGCUUAUCAGCCACCAAACAGUGUUUUUCUUUCACAACAAAUCAGCCGUUUCAGCUUUUCAGCCGGUUUAUAAGUCCAGACGAACAGGCUUAUUCUCCCUCCAUCCCAGACUAUAAUGAACCACCGGAACCUUCACGAGAUUUACAGUGAAAAAAUGGGCAAUCAAAAAAUUACACAAAAUCAGAAGAAACUUCCUCUGAAAGGGGCAACCGAGAUUGACGGGGCACUGUCGAUCAAAUGGGCCAAUGUAAUUAGCCUUAAGAAGACUAGAGAAUUGGGUACUCUUGACCUAGAACGAUUUAGUAGGGUCUUAAGGAGGCUAAGGUUGUUGUGGUUCUAAUGAAAAGACCUGACCAUCCAUGGGUGGGCACUGAAGCUCCUGUUAUUCAGAGCCAGCAUAAUUGUAACUUUUGGAAAUGGUCUCAAGGGAAUUCUGAAACUCAACAUGAUUGGAUGGCAAGGCCCCGGGAGAUCUUGCCCCUAAUUUAUACAAGCUGGCUUGAAAAAAACACAAGAAAGUACAUAAGGAAGUUGCUGAUCACAAUUGGACAAGAGGUUUAUGGAGAAUGACCACUGUGAAUGAAAUGUUUUAAUUUGUGAAUCUCUAGGACCUUAUUCAGGGCAUCAAUUUCACCAACACUCCGAAUGACACUGUGUGGAGAUGGACACCAAAUGGUGAAUAUAGUGCUAGGUCAGCCUAUGCAAUCCAGUUGAAAGGAUCCUACUGUACUUUUGAAGCUCAGGCAAUUUGGAAGGCACGGAUGGAAGGAAAACACAGAUUUUUCGCUUAGCUCCUACCGCAAAGUAAGAUUCUUACAGCUGACAGAUUGAUAGCAAGGAAUUAGCCAUGUAACCCACUAUGUGCUCUUUGCCAAGGGGCACCUGAAUCAGCUGAACACCUCUACAUCCAAUACCCAUAUGCAAUGCAGAUCUGAUAGCUCAUGUCAAACAACUUGGUUCCACUACCACUGACGGAUGUUGGUCUUCAAGAGUGGUGGCGACUAUCAUUGCAGAUGGUGAGCAAGGAAAAAAGAGAGCGCUCGCUGCUAUCCUAAUUUACACGAGUUGGAACAUGUGGAGGGAAAGAAACAAGUGCAGUUUUUAGGAAUUAAGCUACACCUCAAAUGGUUUUCGAACUGAUCAAGGAUGAAAUUAGCAUGCAUCAGAGAGCAUGUGGAGCACCGAUUGUUAAUUAAUUUAACGAUGGCAAUGAUGUAUAACCAGAAAUUAGAGCGUAACAAUGUAAUAUCCUUCGUGGAAUUCUGAAAACUCUGCCCACUUUACGUUUAAAAAAAACCUUCACUAGCUAGUUGUAUCACCACAUUCACAUCACAUGGCUAAUCCCAGAAUAGUCGUUGACUGAAAGUAGAUUAGUGAAGCAACAGCAAAACUUUGCUUUCGUUUUCCUUUCUUUGGAAGAUCAUGAAAUUGUUCGCGAUUCCGUUGACAUGUUUGGUGACAAAAAGUCGGGACCAACACCAGCACAGGAAGCACGUCGGUAGUUGGUACUGGAUGGGUCAACCGUCAACCGGGGAGGAUCUCCUUGGCGACGCCGAUGGACGGACGGUGAGGUCACAGGCGCAAUCCGACGGCUCCGGGGAGCCCAAGCGCCUCCCCUCCCCUGCCCAGACACACGGCGAGGGCGGCGCCGCUACGGAUUUUGCUUUGCUGCAGAGAGAGAGUCGCAGUUGCGCUUCGCCUUGCUCUCCUCUCCUCCACUGUACUGCACGGCACGGACCACCUGAUUGAUCCGGUCGCCGCCGGGUCGCCUUCCGGGAACCUUCCCUCCGUGUCCCUCAUCCCCGGCGUGCAGUUCCGUCAAAGCUCUCUCCCUGCCCUUUUACCCACCCGCCCCAUCCCAUUUCUCCCCGCACCCAGCAAGCAAAUCAGCCAAAGCUCCGAUUUUUACCGCCGCCGCCGCCAUGUCCGCCACGCCGGAGGAGUUCCUGGGCCAGGGGGCCUACCUCGCCGCCCCCGAGCCCUUCUCCCCCUCCGUCUUCCUCGACCUGCCCCCGACGCCCCGCCCCGACGCCGACGACCCGGACGCCUCCGACGACCUCGUCCUCCCCUUCAUCUCCAGGAUGCUCAUGGAGGAGGACAUCGACGACAAGUUCUUCUACCAGUUCCCCGACCACCCCGCGCUCCUCAACGCCCAGCAGCCAUACGCACAGAUCCUCUCCGAUACCACCGCCUCGUCCUCGUCCGACUCCGCCGCCACCAACACCACCUCCUCGGGAACCGCCGCCAACUCCACCCUCUCGCCGCCCUCCUCCGACGCCCCCUCGUCCGCCGAGCCCGCCUGGCCGUACGAUUCAAUCGAGCUCUCCCAGCUGCUCCGCUCCCCGCCAUAUCCGGACAUGGGGGUGGGCCUCGACGACUUCACCGCCGACGAUGUCGACGCCCUCUUGCUGCAGGGGCGACAGGAGGGCGCCACCGCCGGGUUCCACCAGAGCCCGCCCGUCUUGGAUACCGGCGGCGGCGGCGGAGGCCAACGGCAGGGGGCCUCCCUCGCCACCCAGAAUGCCGGCAGUGGCGAAUCCCAGCGGCCGCGCGCUUCCCUCGCCGCCCAGAACGCCGCCGGUGACGGAUCCCAGCGGCAGCGCGAUUCUUUCGCCGCCCAGAACGCCGGCGGCGGCGCGGGCAUCCGGAGUUUGCCUGCGGAUGAGCAGGAGACCAAGACGGCAAACGCCACCGCCUUGCCCGCUGCCGACACUGACCACGCCACGCUGGCCUCGGCAUUCUUCGGCGCUCAGAAUGGGGAAAACAUGGACAUGCUCAACAUGGCAUUCCUCAAAGGCAUGGAGGAGGCCAAGAAGUUCUUGCCCACCAACAACAGCCUCCUCAUGGAUCUCGAGGCCAACUCCGGGCAAUCUACAGACAGCAAGCCGGUCACUGGCUUUACUGCUGCCCGAGUGAAGGAGGAGGAGGUGGUGGAUGGGAUGUUACUGUUUGGAGGAGGAACCACUAAUGGCAGGGGCCGCAAGAACCGCUACACCCAAGAGGAUUUGGAGGCCGAGACAGGCAGAAGCAGCAAGCUGAUGAUGCCGGAACAGGAAGAAACUGGCGCCAGUGAGCUGUACAGCGAAAUAAUGUCAUUAAACUAUGAGGAAUUCAUGAAGCGCAUGAGCGACCUGCGCAUUGCCAUGGAUAGCGAGUCUGAGAAGAGUGCGAGGAAGGUGAGUGGGAAGAAGGGAGCGAGGGGGAGGCAGCGUGCAGACGAGGUUGUUGACCUGCGUACCAUGCUCAUCCAUUGCGCACAAUCGGUGGCAACCGGCGAUCGCCGAAGUGGGAUCGAGCUGCUGAGGCAGAUCAAGCAGCACUCAUCCCCGAAGGGGGACGCCACACAGAGGCUGGCCCAUUGUUUCGCAGAGGGACUGGAGGCACGACUUGCAGGCACAGGGAGCCAGGUGUACCAGUCGCUCGUGGCGCAGCGCACCUCGGUUGUGGAUUUCCUCAAGGCAUACAAGCUGUACAUGGUAGCCUGCUGUUACAUGAAGGUGAAAUUCACGUUCUCCACCGCGACAAUCUGUAAUGCUGUGGCAGGGAGGAGCAAGUUGCACAUCGUGGAGUAUGGUGUGCAACAUGGAUUCCAAUAUCCAGGUUUGCUCUAUACACUGGCAAAGAGGAAAGGUGGACCACCAGAGGUGAGGGUCACCGCAAUUGCUGUCCCACAGCCUGGGUUCCGCCCAGCCCACCAGAUAGAGGAAACAGGUCACCGCCUCAGUAACUGUGCCCGUGAGUUAGGUGUGCCAUUCAAGUUCAACGCUAUUUUAGCACAAUGGGAGACCGUCCGUGCUAAGGACCUCAAUAUUGACCCGGAAGAGGUGCUUGUUGUCAACAGCGAGUGCUUUUGGGGCAACUUGAUGGAUGAGAGUGUUUUGGUGGACAGCCCAAGCCCUAGAGAUAUGGUCCUCAACAACAUCCGGGAGAUGCGGCCCAACGUGUUCAUCCAUUCUGUGGUAAAUGGCACAUUUGGUGCUCCAUUCUUUUUGACACGGUUCCGGGAGGCACUGUUCUUUUACUCAGCGCAAUUCGACAUGCUUGAUGCGACCAUCCCCAGGGACAAUGAUGAACGGCUGCUGAUUGAGCGGGAUGUCAUUGGGAGGUCUGCCCUGAAUGUGAUUGCUUGUGAGGGUGCAGACCGGGUGGAACGCCCUGAAACUUAUAAGCAAUGGCUAGUGCGGAACCACCGGGCUGGGCUGAGGCAGCUACCAUUGGAUUCAGAGGCCGCCAAGGUUUCCAGGGACAAGGUCAAGAACUAUUAUCACAGAGACUUUCUCAUCGAUGAGGAUAACCGUUGGUUGCUGCUGGGAUGGAAGGGACGGGUACUCUAUGCCAUGUCAUCAUGGACGGCUGAGGAUAAUAAGCCCCUCUUUUAGUGUGUCGCUCCACCAAAUUCCAGAAUCUGACUAGGUGGUAUUGGUAGUUGAUAUAUAGUCUAUGUUUAAACCACGAUCCAGCACCUGUGGUUUGGUGGACGUCCAUUUCUAGGGGGUUCGAUCACUGAAACUUGUAAGGUAUAAGUAGAUGAUUAGAGGAGCUACAUAGUUUGUAGAUAUAUAGUUCUGGAUAUUUGCAGAGUUGUAAUAAUGUACACCAAAAUUUAAAACCCUGUAGCUGACAGGCAGUUUUAUGGAUUACAUGUUUGACCUUUCAUGGUUUGAAGGCUUAAUGCCUGAAAAUUAUCUGCCUUAUGAACUUCUGCUUCUGUUGUAGCAUCAGACUGUUGUCAUUUCCCUCAAUUCUGGGAGUGACUCCCCAGUUCUGUCACGGAGUUUUACUGAAUAUUUUGCAUUAUUUUCUCAUUCAGAUAUUGACAGCUAAAAGGGGUCACCAAAUUCUGGAUUAAGUGUUGUUUCUGUAAUUUGCGUACUAAACGUUGUUUGUGCAGUUUGUGGAGAGUUGAUAAUAGCUGGCAUGUGCUCGAUGAUGCAUAAUAUGAAGAUUACAGUUUUGAUUGUUUUGCAGAUUCCUGGUCCACGGUAGAGGCAAAACAGGAGUCGCAGGAGGCAGGCAGGCUCCAUCAUUCAGAGUUGCGUUUGGACUUGUCACCUGCCUCUCCUGCUCAUUUGGCGCCGCCGCCGUCGCCGCAUCAGAAAUUCAGAAUCCUUCCUUCCCGGCGCUUUUCAUUCUUCUUCCCCGGACUUUGGGGGGCCGCAAGAACCGGCACAACAUCGAUUUCGAUUGGGGGGAUGUCCUGGAGGCCGAGACAGGCAGGAAAAGCAAGCUGAUCAGCAUGGACAGCGAAUUAACUGAGCAGAGGAAGAAGAAGAUGAAAGGACAAUCCCCCAAUGGAACGGUGGACUUGUGCACCAUGCUCAUACGCUGCGCGCAGGCCGUGGCGGCUGACAACCGCCGGAACGCCACCCGGCCAACUCCUCAGCCAGAUGAAGCAUCACUCCUCGCCGUCCGGAGACGCAACGCAAAGGCUGGCACAUUGUUUCGCCCAGGGAUUGGAGGCACGGCUGGCUGGUCCAGGAAGCCAGGUGCAACAUCCGGCCGAUGUGUUCAUCCUUUUCACAAGGAGCGGCUCGUAUAGCACGCCGUAUUUCGUGCCACGGUUCCGGGAGGCGUUAUUCCAUUACUCCACCAUGUUUGAUAUGAUGGAUGCCACAACCCCGAGAGAAUGUCCAAUAUCAAUAUACAUGUGUAAGAAAUUUUUUGAAUACAUGUUGAUGAUAUUGAUAUCAAUCCCAAGUAAGCCACCGGUUGAAUUAUAUUAUACACUAAGGCAGAAAUGAUGCACAUGCAAACUUAUCACAAUGGCCAACAGCUCUAAGAAUGUUAAAGGCCAUUUUAUCCGUGGCCUGACGGCAUGAUUGAAAAAAUAUUGACUCACGAAUCCACCCGUACGUCACUGUUGAUUAGCUGCCGACCGGCAACAAGCCCACUUGUUGAUUGUUCUUCCCUUUGGUCUUAUGUCCUUGGUGUAUAUUGGUAUCUUUGUGGAACCAGCAGAGCCGAUCAUGCCAAGCCAGACAUUCAUCAAUGGGUACUUACCUAACCUGCCACUUACUACUUGCUACUCUACUCCUAAUUUAUUGGUUGUGUACUCUGUCAAUAGCUCAGCCUCAUCAAAAAAAUGUCAAGUAGUCAUGAAAGCUAACCUUCAAGGUGCAAUAUUCCAAGGAAAAAUUUGCAUUUUUAGGUGCACGCCACAUCAUCCCUGAGAUGCUAAUGUUCGCGUGUGGACUGAAUUAAUUAGUCAGCAUUAGGUGCACAUGAUUUGGGGUUACUUUAUGUUUUUUCCAUAACGCGCGGGUAAUUUUACAACAGUGUAUACAGUACAAAAGUGAAUAUGAGAGGAUGGAUUUGUGGCUUAGAAUAGCUGUACUUGAGACUAGAAAUAUACAUUGAUGAUAUUGAUUAUGUAAGAAAAGGUGUUACUUUAUCAAUAUCAACCCCAAGCACUUGUGUCAGAAAUUAUUUGAAUACAAGUUGAUGAUAUUGUACAUUACCACAUUGUCUCCUAAGUUUCAAAUUCCCUAGGUAGCUGAUGAAGGCAAGUACAGCUAAAGGAGGUGUCCAUAUCAAGAUUAAGUGGUUUUUCUGCAAUUUGGGGAAUGCAGAGUGCUGAUGGAUAACAUGUUGAAUGAAGUUUACAGAUGUGAUGGUUACUGAACAUAGAUGGACAAAUUAUGGCCAUUGUAAGUUUGCAAUGAUCCUUUAUCACAUAGCAUCAUCAAUCAUCACAGUAACAUUCAGUUACUGGUGGUUACAAGGUCCACAAUUUCUUCACUUCUGUGAAAUACCCUGUGAGUUGAUUGCAACAAUUACGGAACCUGUUGGUACGGACUUUGAACUUUAUAGUCAUCAGAGUAGUAGUGGAUAAUCCUCUCUUUAUAUUUCAUAUUUUUAUUGCUUUCCUAGCCAUUUCAUUCCCUAUAUGCUCUCCUUUAGGCAAUUUCUUUAUCUAUAUUCCUGUCUCACUGAAUUGAUAAUAUUUCAUUUUUACAGCUGAGCAAAGUCAUGCUAUUUAUCGAUAUUUCGUGUAUUUCUUAGCCAACUUAAUUUUGGUUCAUGAGCCUAUGUUUGGAGCAAGGAGAAGCAUAAACGAGCCUUAUAAUUCUAGGCUGACAAGUGUAUAUUUGAAGGGUUUAGCAAUCAGGUGUAAUAUGUCUAUUGUGCUUUCCUUUUUGCCGAAAGAUAGCUAAUUGUUUCGCUUAUGUGGGCCAAAGAAUAUAUGCACAUUGCUCUGUUUCUUUGUGCCAUGUGUUUUAUUUUGGUUGUUGUUUAUUAAAAAAAAGGAAGAAUGAGCCAUGUGUCUGAAGCAGACUCUUGUGGUCUUGUUAAUGAAUUCAGGCCAUGGCAGGGAUGGGUGCAUUUCUUGUAUGACCGGUCUCUGUAAGUUUGAUCAAGAUUUCUCCUGUUGUUAGUGCUCAGAAAGAAUAUUUGCAACCUGCAUUUCUGUCUGGUGAUGGCUGACAGAGUCUGUAUCUCAUCUUUUUUCUUAAAAAAAAUGCUGCAUGUAUGACUGCAUCUAUUCCAUAACUGAGGGUAAAACAUGAGAUUUUUGGCACUUCCCUUUGGUGCUUCAGCCUUGAGGUAGGCGAGGUCUCUGGUCAAUGGCAGCAGGCAACAUAUAUUAUAACUAGCAUUGCGGUGGGUUGCCUGGGAGGUUGGACCAUGAGUGCUCUGCUCUGCUAUGCUCAGCUGAGAGAGACUGCAGUUGGUGCAAAGGGAGCCGGCGGCCGGCAGUUGCCUGGAAGCUGCUGCUGCGACUGAGACUUGAGUGACCAUGAUGAGACGAGAAUAACCACAUCAAUGGAUGCUGCUGCUUUUCUUGCAUUUGCUGCACAAGUAGUGGAAAGUAGCUGGUAGCAGGAAGAAGCAAGAGCUCGAUAUGUCCCCGGCGAUGGCCGCCGCGCCGGAGGAGUUCCUCGCCGUCCACCCGGAGCCGCCGUCCCCCUCCGUCUUCCUCGACCUGCCGCCCACGCCUCCCCCCCACGAUGACCCUGCCGGCGCCUUCGACGACAUGGCGCUCCCCUACAUAGCCCGCCUCCUCAUGGACGAGGAGGCCGCCGAUGAGGCCAGCUUCUUCUACCAGUACCCGGACCACCCCGCGCUGCUCAAGGCGCAGCUGCCCUUCGCCCAGAUCCUCUCCGGCGCAGCUGCGCCCGACGACGACGACAGCGGCCACACCACCACCUCGCCUUCCUUCUCCGCCGACACCGACACUCGCGGUACCUCCUCUCCCGGUGGCCGGGGCGGCUCUGACUCUGACCACUCGCCCACGCUCACCUCACCUAGCACUAGCUUCAUUCCUGCCGCCGACGAUGCGGACAUGGUCACCUCCGCGUUCCUCAAGGGCAUGGAGGAGGGCACCAAGUUCCUCCCCACCAACGACGCCAUCCUCCUCCUCGACAACACCAGGCUCGAUGCCCGGGGCCGCAAGAACAGCAGGCAUAAUGCUUCCCCGGAGACGGAGGCGCGCAGGGCCACCAAGCUCAUGGCGGCGCCGGAGCCGCUAGACGCAUCCGACGCCCGUAAGAUGUUCGACGAGAUGAUGCUCGGCGAGCGCGACAUCUCCAUGAAGGGCGUGGAGCAGCAGCAGCAGCGCGUCAUCGCCGACACGGCCAACCACAAGGCGGCGCCGCGGCGGCGGAGGCGCCGCACCUCCAACUCCAACAGCACCAACAACAACGAGGCGGUGGACCUGCACGCACUGCUGCUCCGGUGCGCGCAAUCCGUGUCCACGGACGACCGGCGCGGCGCGCAGGACCUGCUGGCGCAGGUCCGGCGCCACUCCUCGGCCACCGGCGACGCCGCGCAGAGGCUGGCGCACUGCUUCGCCGAGGGCCUGGAGGCGCGCCUCGCCGGCACGGGCAGCCGCCUGUACAACUCGCUCAUGCUCCAGCCCACCUCCGCCGUCGACUUCCUCAAGGCCUACCAGCUCUUCAUGGCCGCCUGCUGCUGCAAGAAGGUGGCCUUCGCCUUCUCCAACAAGACCAUCUUCGACGCCGUGGCCGGGCGCCGCCGCCUGCACAUCGUCGACUACGGCAUCGGCUAUGGCUUCCAGUGGCCGGGCUUGCUGCGCGGCCUCGCCGCCAGGCACGGCGGCCCGCCGGAGGUCAGGAUCACCGGCAUCGACCUGCCCCAGCCCGGCUUCCGCCCCGCGCACCAGAUCGACGAGACAGGCCGCCGCCUCAUGAACUGCGCUCGUGAGUUGGGCGUGCCGUUCAGGUUCCGCGGGAUCGCGGCCAAGCGGGAGGCCAUCUCUCCCGAUGACCUGGACCUGGGCAUGGCUGAUGAUGACGAGGUGCUCGUGGUGAGCAGCCUCUGCCAUUUCAGACACCUGAUGGACGAGAGCGUCGUCGCCGGCCGGCCCAGCCCCAGGGACCAGGUGCUCGGCAACAUCCGGCGGAUGCGGCCGGACGUGUUCAUCCACGGCGUCAUCAAUGGCGGCUACGGCAGCACCUACUUCCCGACGAGGUUCCGGGAGCUGCUCUUCUUCUGCGCGGCGCAUUUCGACCUGCUGGACGCGACGGUGCCCCGGGACAGCCCGGAGAGGCUGCUGAUCGAGAGGGACAUCUUGGGGCGGGGCGCCAUGAACGUCAUCGCGUGCGAGGGCGCCGACAGGGUGGAGCGCCCGGAGACGUACAGGCAGUGGCAGGCGAGGAACCAGAGGGCGGGGCUCAGGCAGCUGCCGCUCAGGCCGGAGGUCGUCAAGGUGGUGCUGGACAAGGUCAGGGACAACUACCACAAGGACUUUGUCGUCGACGAGGAUCAGGCGUGGCUGCUGCACAGGUGGAAGGGACGUGUGCUCUAUGGCCUAUCCACAUGGGUUGCACAGCGAUGAUGCUACCAAUCCAAUCCAUAGAGAUGCAGGAAUGUCUUGGCAUGUAAAAUCACAAAUCUAGGCUCGUAUUUUAUCUUUCUUACCAUUUCGUAACUACAAGAAUGAGAAGCAAUUUCAAGCCCAGUCAAUUUCAAUAAUUACUGGUCCUAGACACAAAAAAAAUAGACAUAUUCCUCAAUUAACACAAAAGUUCAAUUCCAAUCGAAACUUAAGAAACUCCAACCAGAAUUUAAGAAACAACAAUUGAAACUUUUUAUUCGAAAGGGUCAGACUCAUAUAUAAAGAAUGUAAUCUAGUUUUGAUUCUUGUGUUUGUUAUAAGAAAGAAAAAUGGGAAAAUAAUAGUUUUUUUAUUUAUUGCAACAUGCUCGUUGAUUCCUACUGUCGCUAAGGCCGGAAAUAAUUCAAUUUUCUAAAAAAAUAUCGAAUUCAGAUAUUUCCCCCCUGAAGAAGACAUAAGUUUUAGAAAUUCAAAGAUAAAUUUAGGCCUAUAGCUAAUCAAAAUUGUUUAUCUUUGCUCUCUCUAUUUUUUUAUAUUCUAACAAUGUACACAUAUACAUGCUUUCUUACUUGUGAUGGUUUUGUUACCAAUUAGCUUAUAUAUUUUGCGUCGUUACUCAUAGUUUCCCCUUUGCAUCGUACCUCUAUGAGUUUUAAUUUGUCAUGCAUCUAAUUGAAACAUAACUUUAUGUGUUCGAUAUGAAACAUCGAUAUGAUUAUCGCUUUGUGCAUACAUAUGAUGGAUUUUCCCAUGAUGAUUGUUUUUCAUCAUGAUUAUUCUGAAUCUGCUAUUCCGUUUCUAUGUUCAGUUUGAUCAUGUUACAAAAUCCAUAGUUUUCUUUGCUCUGUUUAUGUGUAUUCACCUGCAGGUUUUAAGUUGCACAGGUAUACUUCCUACCAGCUGCGAAAAACAUUGGCAAUUCCAGAAAAAAAAAUCGACAUCAAAUUCGACAUUGGCUUUGCUGAAACCCUUUAUGAAUGGAACAGACAGAAAUAUAGAAUUCUAAAAUUGUUCUUCUCCUUUCUAAAAUUGUUCUAAAAUUUUUCAAUAUCCUUCUUGGAUUGGAUCCCGGACAAAUAAUAAAAUGUUCACUUGGGACAGAACCUAUCCAGGCAGCAUAGAUAUGUUGCAGCUAAUGAGUUAAAAGUUCUGGUAAUGCACUUACUUCUUGUUUAGUACAGUAUAAUGUGCCGGUUUGAGAAAAAAAAUUAGUCUUAGUAGCCAGCCAUAUCGUCUCCAUUAUCCAGGAAACGUGGGAUUAUAGCUAGCCAUCGUCUCCAUUAUCCAAGCAACAUUGGGAUGCUGCAGCUUUAACACUUUUUUUUUGGAAACUGAAGGCCUGUUCACCUAUAGCUUUGGACCAGUCACCACUCUCACCAUCUGUCUUCCUUGGCCUUCCCCAAAUGGACAAUGGUGAUUUUCAGAACUCACGAUCUCCCCUGCUGACAUGGUCCUCUCCUACGUCGUCUCGCGUGUUCUCUCAUGGAGGAUGAUAGUACUGAAGACGAACUCCUCUGCUGAUCACCCUGCACUUCUCCAGGUGCAGGAACCCUUUGCCCAAAUCCUCUUCUCCCGGGGGACUCACCUGCGCGCGGAGCUCCGGCGGUGCUACGGCGACGCGAAGGGCGACGACGGCGCUAUGGGCGUGGAGAAACGGCGGCGAGAUUGAGAUAGGGAGACUGGAGCUUGGUGUGGGGGAAAAGCUCGGCGGCUGGGGGUAUUUAUAACCCCGGGGGAGCAACGGAUAGGGACGGCGGAGGCGGAGGCUGGCGCCAGAGACGUUGAGCGAAGUGGGACGCGGGGGAAGUGGAGGAACUGGCGUGUGCGGGAGGUGGCGAGAGAUUCGGCCGGCGGUUUCGGAGGCGUGCGGGUGAACAGCGGCCGGAGGUGGAAGAUGACGGGCGGGUCCCGCACGUCAGCGGCUGAGGGAGGAGGGCGAGCGGAGCUGGGCCGCAACGGGGAGAUGGGCCGGGGAAUGCAGGUGGGCCGGGCGAAGGCGAGAGCUGAGCUGGGCCGCCUUUGCUGCUGUGGCUGGUUGCUAUCGGGCCGAAAGCAGGAAGAGUAAAGGAGCUGCCCCAACAGACAGGUAAAGGAAUAGUGUAGUCUAGCCUUUUUAAACUCAAUACAAAAUUUGGAAUUUGAACUUAAAUCCAAAUUCAAACCACUCAAAACAAUGCACCAGCAUGCAAUGCAUAAAAGAACUCCUAAGGUGAUUUAAAUAAUUCGGAAAAUAUAUGCAUGUGCCUAAAAAUGCAAAAGAAACCUUAAUUCAUUUAAAUUUAAAAUGGUUCAAAAUUUAGGCUGUUACAAAAUGUUUGGAUGCUAAUAAGAAGUAUUAAACAUAGACUAAUUACAAAAAUAAUUGCACAGAUGGGGUCUAGUUCGCGAGACGAAUCUAUUAAGCCUAAUUAGUCCAUAAUUUGACAAUGUAGUGCUAUAGUAACCAUUUGCUAAUAAUGGAUUAAUUAGGCUUAAUAGAUUCGUCUCGCGAAUGAGUACAGGGUUCUGCAAUUAGUUUUAUAAUUAGCUCAUGUUUAGUCCUUCUAAUUAGCAUCCAAACAUUUGAUGUGACAUUAGCACCUAGUAUCAAACACCCUAUAUUUCCAAUAAGUUAAAGAAAUAGGGUUUGUUUGGGUCCGUUUGGUUUUGGGACCAUGUGGGUUGGGUUGGAGCCAACCCACUUUUCUGGGUUGGAGUCGACCCAUCUCUUGUUUGGAUGAGAGGGUUGAAGAGGGAUGGGUUGGACCCAGUUUUUUGUUUGGUUGGAGAAGUUGUGAGGGUUGGGAUGGAUGUUCAUGUAACACCGUUAAUUGUGGGCCCCACAUGUCAUCCUCUUCUUUCUAUUUAUUUUUUUCCUCACUUCACUCUACUUCCUUCUCUCCUCCCCGCAAGCACUCCUGACGCCGCCCCUGCUACUCCCCGGCCGCCAGCGCGCCGGCCCCCGCCGGCGGCUCCUCCCCGGCCGCCUCCGCGCCGACCCCUGCCGCCGCCUCCCGGCCGCUCAGUCUCUGCAGCGGGUGCGGGGCCAUGGGGCGUCGCGAGGCGGAGCUGCGCCGCCGGGCAGGCGGCGGGAGGGGGCGGGCAGGCGGCGGCGGGAGGGCGCCGGGCCGGUGGGAGGGGGCGGGCAGCGGCGGCGGGAGGGCGCCGGGCCGGCGGGAGGCGGCGGCGGAUGGCUGGCCGGUGGAGGGCGGUGGCGGGGUCGGGUGGGCAGCGGUGGCGGGCAAGCGUCGGGCGAACGGAGAAGAAACGGAGAAGAAGUAGGUUGGAAUGAUUCCAUCUUUUUUUAGGGAUGGGAUGAACCCGGAUCAACUGGGAAUAUUCCCCAUCCGGGUCGGCUCCAACCCACCUCUUCUCCAACCAAACAUGGGGCGAAGUGGGUCGGCUCCAACCCAACCCACUUCGACCCAGAACCAAACAGACCCUUUAUUUCUUCAAUGGUCCUCUAUGAUCAGAAAAAAUAAUAUCAUUGUGCUCUCUGUGCAGUAGCUAGCUUUAGCAACCAUCCAAAAAGCUAAGCAUCGGGAAUAUAGCUAGCUAGCCAUCGUCUCAUCAAUCAAGCAGCAUUGGAGUUGAAGAAGGAAGACAUCGUCUUCUCGAAUCAUCUGGCACUUUCACACACAUUUUUUUAAGGAGAUACUCACACUACACUACAAUAGCCAUGACGAUCACCCCAGAGCUGGAGGACAAGCAGCAGCAGCAGGGCGUCAUGGCGGAAACCACACAACAACCCUCCCCCUCCGUCUUCCUUGACGACCUACCCCUGCUGGCACCCUGCAUCAUCGACAUCGACGGCGGCAAGGACGACUCCUCACCUGAGGACGACGGCAACCUUGUGCUUCCCUACAUCUCGCGCAUGCUCAUGGAGGACAUCACCGGUGAGUUCUCGGACCGGUACAACCCGGACCACCCUGCCCUCCUCAAGGCCCAGCAGCCCUUCGCCGAGAUCCUCUCCAAUGCCAUCCAAAAGUGCCCCUGCAAGCAGCUCUCCCAGCCGGCGCCGCUGCGCAUGGACACCGUGGAGGCCAAGAGCUUGCAGCUGAUGACAGCCAAGGGCAGCAGCUGCGUGGACGUGGUGAGCAUGGCAUUCUUCAAAGGCAUGGAGGAAGCUAACAAGUUCUUGCCCAUUCCCACAGACAGUGAUGAGACGGUCUGGCCCAGCUGCAGGCGGAAGAAGAAGAGGCUUGACAGGGAUGAUGAGACGACGGCGCAGGCACAAGAGGUUGGCAUGAGCACCAGCAAGCAGAUGGCAGCAUCGCUGCAACCAGCUGAGACGGAGGAGGAAGCAGCUGCACGCGAGAUGCUGGACAGGUUGAUGCUUAACGGCUACGACCACCCAAGCCUUGCCGCCGACAUGCUGGAGCCGCCAUACGUUGCCAUAGGGAUGAUGGGGAAGACGACGCCACCGCGGGGGAAAAGGCACGCAGUGGACCUGCAUACCUUGCUCAUUCGAUGCGCCGAAGCUGUGGCCAGCAACGAUUACCGUGGAGCAGCUGACCUGCUAGAGCGGAUCAAGCACCACUCAUCGCCGACGGGGGACGGGACCCACCGAUUGGCGCACUGCUUCGCCAUGGGGCUGGAGGCACGGCUGGCUGGCACAGGGAGCCAGAUCUACCGGUUGUUCAUGGACAAGCUUACCUCGUCCACGGUAGGCGUCCUCAAAGCCUACCAGUUCCACAUGACUUCCUGCUGCUUUCUGCUGGUGCAACACCUCUUCUCCAACAAGACCAUCUACAACGCUGUCACAGGGAGGAAGAAGCUGCACAUUGUCCACUAUGGUCUAGGCCGCGGGCUCCAAUGGCCAGACUUGCUGCGGUGGCUUGCACGCAGGGAUGGCGGGCCGCCAGAGGUGAGGCUCACCGGUAUCGACAACCCACAGCCUGGGUUUCGCCCGGCUCAGCACAUUGAGGAGACAGGGCACCGGCUCAGUGAAUGUGCACGCCGGAUCGGUGUGCCGUUCAGGUUCCGUGGCAUUGCAAAGAAAUUGGAGGCCGUCCAGGUUGAGGACCUGGAUAUUGAUCCCGAUGAGGUGCUCGUCAUCAACUCCAUACUCCAUUUGCAGAGUUUGAUGGACGAGAGCGUCUUUGUCGAGAGGUCAAACCCCAGGGACAUGGUGCUCAGCACCAUCAGGAAGAUGAGGCCAUCAGUGUUCAUCCACGCCGUCAACAAUGGAUCACACAGCAGCGCGUUCUUCAUGACACGGUUCCGUGAGGUUCUCCAUAGCUACACUGCACUAUUUGACAUGAUGGACGCCAUCGCCCCGAGAGACGAUGACAAGAGGCUGCUGGUGGAGCGGGACAUGUUCGCAGCGUGCAUCACGAACAUCAUCGCGUGCGAGGGCAUGGACCGGGUGCAGCGGCCUCAGAGCUACAAGCAAUGGCAGAUACGCAGCCAGCGAGCAGGUCUUAGGCAGCUACCAUUGGACCCUGAGAUUGUUCAGAUGCUCAAGGACAAGGUGAAGAAGGAAUAUCACAAGUCUUUCGUGAUCAAUGAGGAUCAACAUUGGCUUCUCCAAGGAUGGAAAGGACGGGUGCUCUAUGCGCUCUCCAUGUGGACGGCAGAUGAUGACAGAUCUGUAUUGGCACAAACUUGAUCAUGGUUUAUGGUAUGUAGUCCAUCAAUAGCUUUUUGUCAGUGUAACAGCUACUAGUUCCACAAAUAAAUUGAUCCUAAGUUUUCAAAAAAAAAAAAGAUGCACGAAUUUCCUGCUGCGCGUCCUGAGUGUUCAAGAAAAGUUCAUUUCUGAAGAUACAACUUUUCUAGUGUAAAAUAUUAUAACUUCAUACUUGGGAUGAACUAUUUAAGAAUAACAUGCACCAGGUUUUAUAUCUAACAUAAUGGAUAGAAGGGUGCACCAUCACUUUUUUGUAUGUACUUUUGUUUCCUCUAGACAUUAGAGAGUAUAUGUAUACCAUUGUAAAUAAAACCAGACAGCACAAUAAUCCUUGUGCUAAACCUUAUGACUCCUCAAUUGUAUUGAUAGACCAACGAGAAGUGGAAUACUACUAACAAAAAAGAAGAAUAAAAGGUUAUGGAACAUGCACAUACAUUUUUCUCCAAUCGGGCAGGUCCAUCUAAGAUUUCACAUUCAUAGACAUUGAUAAGAACAUUCAAUUUUAUAGCACCUUAGCACGACAUGACUGUGACGUUAAUGCAGAUGUUCAAGAGAGGAAGCCUUGGGGUGGAUAAAUAGGUACUUAGAGACAAGGAAGGACAAAGCAAGCGAUAAAAUGUGGCGAGGUUAUCAAACGAUGAAAUGUUCAAAUACACCAAAAUAUUGAAAGGGGACACAAGACUGACAAGAGCACAAACAGCGCACCAAGUUACAAUACUAAGAAUCCAACAAGCACCCACCGUAUACGAGGGCAUGUUCGCCUAGAGCCCUAGACCCAAGGCAAUAUGACCUAAGACAAACAUCAAAUGGACAGGCUUGAGGCAGUUUCCAUUGAAAACCAAGUAUCGCAUGGAAAAUGGCAACCACAAACUAUGCAAGGAUGAAUGACAGCAUGGAUGUUUUUACAAGCAAUGUUGACUUGGCUAGAGAGCAAAGAGAAGCAUGGAGGAUGUCCAUUCUCCUGGAGUCCAAUUUUAGUGCAACUAGGCAAUGAGUUCAGAAUAUUGACAAGUAUCAGAGAAUGUAUUAGACACUAAAUAGUCAAUAUUGUUCGCUUGAAAGGGGUUGCAAACAAUUUUACAAUUAAAAUAAAAUAUAUGUUGUGAUAAGCUACUAACCAGUAAUUUCUUUUCCUCUUGGUGGUGGUGAUGGUUGUUUUGCCAUGCAUGUGAACCCUGAUUGAUUAUGGCCUGAUGGUGGAGCCAUCGAGCCUGGAAUAUGAAUAUCAAUUAUACUGAUAGACCGUUCAACAAGUAGCUUAUCAUAAGCAUCUUGGGCGUCUGAGAUCUCAGAAAUCCAAUCAUGUUCCUUGACACUAUAGUUGAUAGAUAGGCUUUCCCUUGAAACUACCGCACACAGUGGCCAGGAGCCCAUGACCUGAAGUAAAAAGAGAAAUGAAGGGAUAAAGAAAACAUUAGCAUGGAUACCAAUUACCAAACCAUCGAUAUCAACACCACUGAAUACUACAAAAAACGAAGAGGCUUGACCAAUGAUAGGUCCAUUGGGAUAUCAGCAUGGAUGUGCCAAAAUAUCCAAAAUCCACGCAGCAUAUACCUUAAAAAUAUUAGUAUGGGACAAGAACAAAUAUGAUACCCCAAGUUACAGCCGGAAAAAUCCAAGAAACAAGCACCAUAUACGAGGAUAUGGUUGUCUGCAGUCAGAUGAGCUGACUUAAUGAAGAUAUUUAAUGGACAACAGGUGCAGUAUUUACAAUGAGGCACAGAAAGAUUAUAACUUGGUACAGACUUCAACUACAAGAGUACAGUAACCCUUAACUCCUUAACUACAGUUAGUAGUUUUGACCAUUUUUAACUGUCCUCAAGUUCAAGAGUAUGUCAAUACUCAUCCUUCAGAUGGUUCCACAAGAAUUUGGGCAGUCUAUGCGUCUAAUAAGAUUUGGUGACUAAGUCGAAAUGCAAGUCUUAUAACCAUGCAUCUGUUUGUUUCAUUGACAGAUUCUUUACAGGGUGUAGAAGUAACAAAAGACAGUUGGGUACUAACACUAGCAAGCAGGAGGAAAUAAGAUGUAAUUCUGGGUGUUAAACUGUAGGUAACAAAAGAAUUUCGCUCAAACAAUCACCUAGGUGGAGUCGCACAAUAAUAAGAAAAGGACAUCAUAGGUAAAGCCACCACAGGCAAAAAAGAAAAGGUACAUGCUCCUUGACAGAAUUUCAUAGAUAAUGCAGAUUCUUUUCCUUUCAUUUGUGGAAUGGGUCUAGUUUCAGUUAUUUACAGAAAUCUGCUGCAAGUCCGCAACUGAAGAUUUGCAUUGCCUAUAUUGCAAUUACCAGGCAUUAUUCCAGAGGUAGAUCUUCUUCACCAAACCAUCUUGGAGGAUCAUACCCAUAACCGCCUGCAUGUACAUCAGAUAACACAGGGCUGAAGUCCCAUAAAUAUGAUAUGAUGCAGACCUGAAAAUGUCAAACAAAUAGUAAUAACUAAGCACCAAUAGAACAGCAUACCAAGAGGAUUACAGCGGCACAGACGCCAAGCAGUCAAGAUUGUACCCUUUACAACACCAUAUCUUUUGUAUGCCUGCAUAGAGUACUCACUGCAAGUUGGCACAUAGCGGCAGCUUGAAGGCAGUAAAGGUGAUAUUUCCCCUGUUCACAUGGAGCUCGGCUGAUGAGCAAUCAAUAUAGAGAUGCAAUUGAUCUUAAAAGCAAGCAGAAAACCCACUCAGGCUGCAAGCUGCAAAUAUGAACUUACGUUUAUAAAACUUUAGCAUGGAUAGUGCCACAUUGACUCCCAAAUCCUUGACUUCCUCUGCUGAGAGUCACAUGUGCACAGACUGUAGUCAAACAGACCUAUUAUAUAGUUCUACGCAAAAAACACAACUACGUUUCUAAUAAGAAGCAAUGUUCAAUGUGUUACCAUAAAAAAUGUCUCUUAUAUAUAACAGGGCGUGCUCCCAUUCCUAAAUUCAUGUUUUAGAAGAGCCUACAUGUGCGGUAACUUUAGAGCACAGUUUUCUGUCAGUGGUUUACAUCAGAUAAGAUCCUAAUGCACAUUAACCUCAUGCACAUUUUUAAUAUCCUUGCCAUUGAUUCACUUGGGGGAGAAAAGCCCAAGCAAAAAUAGGAUCCAAGCAAUACACCUCAUUCACUGGAAACUACAGGCUGGACAUGAACUACAGUGUAGGUCUAGAAUGGAACAAUGGAGGCCGGUGUAAGGUAAGCUACUAUUGACUAAUUAGUUAAUCUCAAGAUGUCCUCAAAAAAAAAAAUCUUCAGAUAGGAAAUUAAAAUUGUGACCAAAAGGAAAUACAGCACCAAGUACUUAAAAAAAACCCCCAUCAGAUAACCAUUCCUGAGAUUUCAGGAAACCUGAUGUCACUACACUGACCUUCGUCGUCAGCAGCACAUCGGACUCUCCGCGCCGGAAUCUUUCUCCUCUUCUGGUACGAAGCACCGAAAGAAACUAGAGAUCAAAGACAAAGAAGCAGGCAUGAGAUUAUUAUGGAGAAAACUUUGUGUUCUGGAACCGAUUGACCGAAUAAAUCUUUGAACUCGAGUAACCGGAGCGUGGGACGAGGGGUUCACCUGUGAUUCCGGCAAGAGGUUGCGCAGCCCGAACAGGCAAGAAGGAGGCGGAGGUGGAGGGGGCAGCGGCGGCCAUGGCGACGGCGGCGCGCCGGCGCGGGAACACGAGCGGGUGGUGGUUGGCGAUUUCUUGCAGAUUUUCCUUUUUUUUUUUCUUUUUUUUUGUUCUCUUACUGGAUAAUAAUAACAGAGUUUGGAUAGACUUGUUCGCAGGCUUUGGGCCUUUUGGUGUCUCAACUUGCAUGGGCCGGGCCUUGCAAAGAAUUUUUGGGCCAACUUCGUCGGCUUGGCUGACCGGUGAUGAAAUUAGUUUUCCUUGAUAGCAUGACUGAGAAAGCAACGAAUACUGCAAGUCAAUUGAUUAACAAAAAUUUUAGAUGCACAAAAUAUUUUCUGAAAUUUUAGAUGCUUCAGUUGAGAUUUGUGUGUUAAAAAUGUGAUCUGGUUAGAGAAAUUUCUUCAAAGCAAAUAAAUAAAAAUCAUUUUCGCCGCCGCCGUGAAGAAUAUAUAUUCUUCAAAGAAUAUAACUACUCGUAGGUUCAAAAAGAAAGAACAUGCAUAUACACAUCUAAACCUUACAUGGAUGCCUGCAGGUUCACUGAACCCUGCAGGGAUCAAAUUAAUAGAAUGGAAUAUGUAAUGAUAAUGCUGCUUCCUAGGUUCAUGCAGCUACCCUCUCAUCUCCUAGCAAAGCAGAUCGAGCUAGGGAACACCAUUUGCAAAAGAAAAAAAAAUGUCCAUUUUGUAAUCUUCAUCUAUAAGCCAAAGUCUAGCUUCCAAUGCAACCAGCAACUAAUAAGAAGCCAUUCCCUUUUCAACUCCCAACUAAUAAAACUGAGCAUUAAUUCCGGCCCUGCUAGUUUAGAGCAGCUUGUUGAAGUCAGUAAAUAAUUUUUAAGAAAUAUGAAAAAGUUUUAGUUGCACAUGUAUGAUUAGGCUCCUUGAACUUUGCUACUAAUAGCAUAUACGAAGAUUAUGUACACUGUUAAUUACCAGUGAUAAUUUUUAACUAGCCGGUUAAGUUACAGACAUGAAAGGAAAAUGAAGGUGGAAGUGAACUAAAGCAUAUGCAUGCACCCUUGAGCAGCCAUGUGCUCCCACAGUAAUUAACAGACGCUGAGGCAGCGAUUAAUUAGAUGCUGCCGGCGUCACCCAGCGAUUAGAUGGGUGGUGACCGGUGAGAUGCCAACUACAACAAAUUAGAGAGAGCUCUCCAGGCCGGCUAUAAAUAGACAGCUGCUGCUGCUGAUGGAAGCCGUAAGGCGCCGUAGCCAAAAAUAUAAGCAAGUCCCCUGCCUCUCGAUCCUUCUGCUAGCUAGCUAGCUCGCGGUUGUGUAUUGUGUCUUGUGUGUGUGAGGAAGGAUCGAUCGAUCGUCGGGCUCGGAGCUGAGGAAGAAGAAGAAGAUGUACGGCGGCGGAGGCGGCGGCGGUUGCAGUCCGGACGACGACAGGAUGGUGUGGAACGACAAUAAUAAAAAGCUGGCGACGAAGCACAUCAAUGGAGGCGGCGGCGAGGAGGCAACAGCAAAAGGCGAGAAGCGGAAGCUGCGGCGCUCGGUGUCGAUGACGACGGUGGGUGGGCGUCUGGCGAGCGCGGCGAAGGAGCAGCGGGCGCGCCUCUACAUCAUGCGCCGCUGCGUCUCCAUGCUCGUGCGCUGGAAGGACUGACUGUUUGGGCUGCUGUGGGUGUGGGUGUGUGUAUGGGCCAGGCCCAUCAUGUUUCCUAUGUUUGGGCUGCUGCUGGGUUGCUUUGCUUUUGCUUUUCGAGAGAGAGAGAGAGAUCUGAGAUGGGCCUCCGUUGUCGCAAUUCUGUCUGUUGUGUUAUGCUUGGGCCGUUCAUUGCGUACGUAGGUGCGUUGGCCGUCUGAAUUAAUCAUCUCAAUCGACUAUUCUCUCUGCGAUCCAAUCGGGGUUUUAAUUUCUUGGUUUACAGCAACGUAACCUACCCAUAUAUAGCUAGCUACCUAGGUGCAACGACGGAAGUGGAAUAAUGGAUCCACUGUACAAAUAGAUUUGUGAAUGGAAAGAGAUAACACUUGAAAGUUGUGGAAAAAUAAUGGAUCUUCCUUUAUAACAGGGUAGACUCCCCUUUUACAAUGACUCGUGAACCACUUUACAUUCCGAAAAUGUGCUUCCUCAAACGCUACAUUCCUACUAUAUGCUGUACAUAAAGGUCAUUGGGGGUAAUGUGUACAAAUUGAAAUCCUCCACGUAGUCACGUUUCUCACACCUCCAUCCCUCUAACCUUGGAACUUCGCCUUCAUGCCAGAUCAACUUGUUAGCUUCGUAUCAUCACCCUCAGCCCGAGAUAAAUGCCCAACCUCGUGACGCUCGUUAGCUCCCCUAUAAAAGGCGGGGGUGCGGGUCACUCAGGGCUACCCUCGCAUCUUACUGUGAGUUUGCGCUCUGUUUGCUGGUGCUUUGAGAUUCGCACUUUCCUCAGUUGUUUUUGUCCGUCUUCAUAACUUCGAAGGUAUUGUUCUUAUGCAUAUUUUUCAUUCUUGUUUAGCUCUAUUGUUUUGCUUUGAUUUACUGUUUAUAUGUUGUUCAGCUGGCUUGGAUUAUGCAAACCGUGAGAUUGAUGACUCCUGAAGAAUUAGCAUUGCAUGGUCACGCUCCCGAAGGACAAGAGGCUCGCGAGGGUUCUAAUCAUCUGGAGGAAAUCAUGCCAUGUGUCCACAUGCUGGCCAUUGAUGUCUAUGGAAAUUACGCGGUCCAGAAGGUUAAGUUCCUCCAACUCAAUCCAAUAUAUUUGCGGCAUGGUUUCUAUUUAACUAGAAUUUGCAUUGUGAAGCAUGUACAAGAAUAUAAUCAAUUGAGCAUCAAGUCCCGUAUUAAUUGAUCCAUUAUUUGUUUCUCCAUCAGGUUCUUGAGUAUGGACCGGAAUCUUACAACAGGAAGCUCAUCGGCUAUCUUAUUGAGCAUGUGUUACCUACCCCUAAGCUUUCAUAUGUAUGGUUGCCGGGUCACACAGAAGGUAAACCAAUAUUUCAUAUUCGAAAAUGCAUGUGUGUGUGUGUGUCUUGUUCUGUUCCUGUGUCAGAGAGUGUUUUCCUACUGCAACAACCUGGAGAUCUACGACACGUUGGCGGCAGAGAUCAUCGAGUCUGUUAACAAGCUGUCUCGAGAGAAAUUUGCAGACUACGUGGUGCAGUACCUGCUGGAGCACGGCGGCCAAGCUAAGCGGUCCAUGAUGGUGAGCAAUUUUGCCGGGUACGUCGUGAGCAUGAGCUACAACAAAUUUGCCUCCAAUGUGAUCGAGGCAUGCCUGACCUUCGGGAGCCAGGAGGACCGGCAGCUCAUCACCAACGAGAUCAUCACGAGGAAGAUGGUGUCCGUUGCGGAGGAGCAGCAGGUGGGCGUGCUGGUGGAUGUGGCCAGAAGCAACGUGGCCUAUCUAGUCUGAUGAGGUUUAAGUAUGGCGAGCACGUCAUUGCCGCCAUCGAGAGCUUCCUCAGCGCCAAGGGUAAGACGCAUUCCCUGCCAAGCUAGAUGUUCCUCAGCACCAGCAACGCUAACUCAUGACAUGGCUCCUCCUCCACUCCCGCCCCAGUGAGAUCUGGCUGCUGCUAACUGCCUAGUGAAGAAGACGAAGAGGAGGGAGACUGUGCCGCAUCAUCCAUCUUGAACCGUGUCGUUGGAUCGAUCACUACUUAUGAAUAAACGAUCAGGUUUCAGACUUGGAUCGAAUCGAUGGAAUGUUUCCUUCGUCGAUCAUCCCAACAGCAUACUGUGACUGCUGUCAGAUCAGAUGCUGCAUCAUCGAUGGAAUGUUAGCUGACUGACUGACAUGCAGUGACCGUUGUGGUAAACUAGGUGUUAUAUAUGUCAUUACAUGAUCGAUUAGGUUCAGAUGCUACACAUAUAUAGUCUAUAACUCUGAACAAAAAGCUUAAAGCACGAACAGAACAUACAUAGAGCACAAGGGAACAUGCAUGGAUGAGUGUACUAGCAGAUGAUGAACUGUUUAUUUCCUGGAUGUGGGCGGCGGGCAGAAGGUGAUGAGGUAUCGGCUGGCCUUGCAGCGGUUGAGGGAGGUGGCGUCGUCGUAGGCGUAGCUGUAGGCCUUGGGACAGACGGCCUUGAAGACGUGGGCGAAGAUGGUGGGGCGGCACCUCUCCGGCGACGCGUAGUCCCCCGUGCAGCAGUACCUGUCGCCUCCCAUGGCCCUGCACGCGCUCCGGCACCCGGCCACCUUCCCCUCCCUGUCCCUCACCUCCAGCGCCGACGGGCAGCAGACGUUCAUGUCCGCCUGGCACCCGGCCACGCCGCACCCAGCGCCGCCGCCCACCGGGGACAUGGACACCGGCGCGUUGAAACCGUCCACCAGCGACACGUCGUAGAAGUGCAGCGCCGACCUGGGGGUGCCCAGCGUCAUCUCCACCACGGUCGCCGGCGUGGCGCCGGGGCGGCCGUCGCACCGGAGCACGCCGCCGCAGUCGCCCGUGGCGCAGCUGCCCCGCCCGCGGUCGUCGAAGGAGCAGCCGCGGCGAGGCCACACGCGACCGGACCAGCCCAGCGGCACGUCGAAGGCGGUCUCGUCUCCCGGGGCCAGGUGGAAGCCGCCCGACUGCGGUGUCGGGUGCCCGGCGGUGCCCAGCAGGCCAGGCCAUAUCGACUCCGCGCAGUUGUUCACCAAGAUCAGCUGGAUGCCGCCGCCACCACCACCACCACUCGCGCUAGUCACUAGUAACGCCGCCAUGGACAGGAAAAUGCUGAGGAGCUGGAGCUUAGCCAUGGAGCUCUCCUGAUCUGUCAGCUAUAGCUGCUGCUAAUCAUAUCGAGUCUGCGGUGCUUAUAUGCAUCUGCAAGGUGCAAGAUGCUACUCUACGAAGAGGAUUGUUAUUCAUCGCUACACACAGAAAAGAUACAAAAGAUGCAAAGCAUUGCGCCGGCCAGGAGCGAGCUAUUACUUAAGUAGUGAUCUUAUCAUCAGCUUUGGCAACUAAAAAGUUUUGAUUCUGGCAAUGCAACAAGCAGUGUAGUGGCUCCCAUGAUUCUGUCGAGCCCCGACUCGAUCGUAUCGAUCGUGCAGUUUAUGAUAGAUACCAGAAUAUUACACAAGACAGAAUUGUGGUUUCCUGCUUGCAUUAGUAGUACUUGCCUCGCUCUAAAGCUUUUCAGGUAAAUCUGAUGAAUUAGAUUAUACAGGAUUUUUUUUCCCACCAUGACGCCAAUGUAGACUAUAUAGCAGUCCAUGUAGGGCAGAAGUCAGUAACAGCAACCAUACUACCUACAAUGAAGAACUACUCAGCUUCUUCAGUCAGUCAGUGAUGAACUUCCUAUACAUGCAACCGACAUAUACAUUAUACCUGCUGACAUAAAGGUCAGAGAAAGCAAAUUAAAGGAGAGGAACUGCUGGCAUAAAGUGGUGUGUUGCCCUCCAACUUAGGACGUCCGGAAGGGAUUGCAAUGCAAUCUCAGGAUCUAUUCCUUGCUUUGGACUGGGGUUAGCUUCUACCUCGCGUAUGUCUAUAUAGUAUUUGGAUAACCAAAAGAAUAAGCCCAGCAGCAAGUUGAUGCAUGGAUCGGACACUUUCCUUCCUACAAGGAAUAUCUGUCUGCUCCUCCAUCCCUUUUGCUUUUCCAUCGCCAUGCUUUUGUCGAGGCAAUCUUGUGAAAAGGGCAAGCGUGUUGCUUACACAUCUGAUGAAAGCAUCAUGCAUGUUUGCUCCGGUUAUGAACCUUGCUUGAAGGGCCAAAUUCCAGCUUGACCGGCCCGCUGACAAAUUGGGCCUCUCAAUUCUAGAGUACUUUUGGCCCAAAGCAUAACCUAUAGUACUUUUGGUCACUACUAAAUAGUGACUAGUAUUCUCAUGAAAGGAAAUCAAUAAAGUAAGGUGGCCAACGUAAAUUACACAAGAGAUUUAUAUAUAAUGAAAUGAUCCACACAUAGUUCCUUGUACAAAAGAUUAAGAAAAAAAGAAGGCUGAAACUAAACACCACGCACAACACAAAUACAUGUGCGUGUGCUUGCAGUUGCAUUGUAGUGAUAAGCAACCAAUGCAAGGAGAUUGCAAUGAACGAAUGCAAUAGCUAAUACUAUAUAGUACAGUAGUAGCAGUACACACAGGUAGCUAGUUAAUGUGCAGGUAAUCAAUAAGUUUGUGGGAUUAGCUAGUUAAUUACUGGUACUAAAUUAAGUAAAGGAGCAGUAAAAUUAAGAGUAAUGUGUGUGAGAUGUACGCAUGUCUUGAUGAUGCAUCUCGUGUGUGUACUUGAUUUUAAUUUGGUGCGUCAAUUAUUACCGCCAUCGUCGUCCUGUGUAGUAGCAGUGCUGCCUUCUUGGGGUGGUGGUGUUGACGAUCCUCCGCCGAACAAGCGACGACGGCUAACCGCCGACCUGUUGAUGACCGUAUUGUGUGUCACUGAAACUGGGCUGCACUGCUGCUCGAAAUCCAAGGAGCAGGAUGCGUAGAUUGCCUGCAUCAUCCUCAAGCACUCAUCGGCGUCUUUCUCGUCCUGCAUUGCAUGCAUGCUAGUAUUAUAUUGAAGAAACAAAAAUGCAGUACUGAUCUACUAUACAUAGUUGAAUGGAGGUAGGUGCUGAAGAAUGAUCGAUGGUUUACCGUUGGGCAAUGUGGACGAACAAGGCGGCUGAUGAUGUCGCCGUGCAGCAGUUGGUGACGAUCCUGCUCCAGCUGGUUUACGCACCGAAGCGCGGAGGCGGCGAUGACGGAGGGAUCGAAGCGGAGAAGCAACGAGGGCUCUGCGAGCGAGCGGAUGAGGAGGCGAGUUGCGCAGGGAGCGGUGGUGGUCGUAGUAAUAAUGAGCUGGAGGAAGGAGUAGGGCGUGACGCAGGCGAGGCGCCAUUGGAGCGCCUUGAGCAGCGCGAGCUCCAUGUCCCGCACCGUCGCCGCCCGGAACCAGUGCCCAAGCACCUCCUCCAUCUGCAAAUAAUCAUUUAUUCAGAAAAAAGUGUCAUGCAUACAAGCAAGCAAGCAUGGGCAUGUGAAUGCAUGCAAUGCGGUCAUGUACGUAAUAGUACCUGGAGAUCGUGGAGCGAUGGGAUAUUGACUUCGUCCAGCUUGCACGCGAUGGACAAGCAGGCCACGCUCACCAGUUCAACCAUCCACGCCUCCUCCCACUUCUGCUUCAUCAAUUCAUUCAUUCGUUCGUUGCAUUGCAUCAAGAUCGAAGAAGAGGAGGAGGAAUGAAUGACAUGAACUCGUCAUCCGGCAAGCUAAGCUAGCUGCAGAUGAUUACUUACCAGAUGGCAGUUGAUGGAGAGGAAUCUGUCCAGAUAGUUGACUGCGUUGAACGCCGUGGCCGCCGCCAGCCCCAACCGACCAAAUGCCUUAGCAAAUUGAAUUGCAUUCGUCAGAAAUUUGAAGCAAUAAUAGAUGGAGAUAGAUAACGUGUAAUUGAAAAAGAUCAAUUUAAAGAUAAUUACACAUUAUUACAUAGAUGAUGUAGUGCACUCCUCUUGAGCGAGCGGCGGCCACACCUGCUGCACCCUGCUGCCGCCGCAGAUGCUCCAGGUAGCCUCUGCUCGGCGCGUAGCAUCCCUGCCUGCCCAUCAUGUGCUCCAACAACGCAAGAACCUCCUCCUGUUCUGCUGCACCUAAUUCCUCCUCGUCUCCUACUCCGACGACUGACGCCGCCGCCGCCGCCGCCACCGGCCCACCACCAUUACCAUCAGCUGGAGGAGGCGUGGAGACAAGGAGAGGGUCCUCGUCGCAGUAGAGAAGAUCACUAGCGUCGUCGUGGAGCAGCAUGCUCCCCUCCUCGUCGUCUUCCAUCCCUACCGGCCCUACAUAUGGUAUGGCUCUCCCCGGCCGAAUCGAAUCAUCCAUCAAUCGAUCGACGAUCCGGCCCCCUGUAUAUACAUGGCAAGAACGGAACGGAACGGAUCGGAGGAGUUACCCGGCUCGUGCGUACGUCGUGGAUGGUGGAUUGGUGGUUGGUGCCUUAAAGCCCGGGAGAGCAGCCUCAUGACCAUCCAUGACCGCCGUGUAGGCUAUAGCUGCAUGCAUGGCCAUGGCCGGCCGCCCGCGCGCACUCAAUGCAUCAUGCAAUCCGUCCUGUACGUACUGCAUACUACUCCUAGCUGGUGUAUAUAGCAGGAUCGACGCGCAUCCACGUACGUACAUCCACUUGCUCUGCCAUCACGUACGUGCAUGCAUACCAAGAGACUAGCUAGAAUCAUGCACUAUUGUGCAAUCAGCCAGGAAAUACUUAAUGCGCCCGGCCAUUCAAUGCCAUCCAUCCAUCUACCUGGAAGAACCAAGCUGCUGCUGUCGUUUAAUGCUUGCAUGCAUUCUGUUCCUUCUGACCGCCGCCGGAAAAGGAAAUAUAAUGCGAGCAGCCAUGACAUCCUAUGAAUAUCACCGACGUACUGCCAUGGCAGGCAGUCAUUCAGUGUCAGUACGCCAGUCUAACUCAUAUCAGCUUGCUGACCAGACCAACAACGCCCAUCCAUCCAUUUACACCGUACUUAGCUUUUACCAUUAUAUUACAAUCCCUCUAACGUGCAUGUACUCAUGUAGUACAUACUAGAACAAGCCAUAUAUCAUCGAUAUAAAAUAAUCACUGGGACUCAAAAAUAACGACGUCUGCCUAAAAACAACAACAACAAUGUCGUCUACUUCAUAUAUUAUAUGUAUGCAACCCAAAAUUUACUUUUGGCAGUGUUGUCACAGCUUAUUAUUGUUCAACCCUCCGUACUUUUUUUCCCCAUCUUUUCCCUCCCCCAACCCCUAGGACGCAGGACGGGCGCUUUGUGUAUGUGUUGGCUGCAACGAGUGGUGAUGUACGGCACGCGAUGUGCGAGGGAUCACAGGGAGAGGUCUCUUUCCAUAUGCAAAGCUGAUUAACUAAGGUCAAAGGGGUCAGUAUGGAACGAGAGCUUCGAAAUCUUGGUUUUACUCCUCGCUAACGCACUUCCACAGCUUGCUGGAGGUGCACCCCUAUUUAAUCCGUCGCUGUGAUGUUGCUCAAGGAUACCACUGCGUGCGAGUGCACUACAACACCGUCUAGGAAUGUGUGAAGUUGGGAAAUUGCAUGCAGGGUUAAGGAUUUGAGAAAGAGAAUGAAUUUUGGGAGAAUCAAAGAGGGAGAUGUGAGAGCCUGAACCUGAGUGGGAUGUGAUGCGAGCCAUGAUGAAAGAAUUUGCUGUGUCCACAGUUUAGCACUUUUGGUGGAGCGAAGUAGGCCUUAGCAUGGAUAAUGCUGGUUGGUCCAAGAUGCAUGUAGCUCGUUUUACAUCAGGGAAACAAGAAUUGCUGAAUAUCUUCCAAUAAAUUAGUAUACACAUGUAUAUAGCACAUACAUAAUUGAUUCUUACUGGAAAAAUCUUGGGUAUUCCCGAGAACACAGAGGCAUCAACGUGCCUCUGCCCCUGCCGUAUCCUCUCUCUUUCGAGGAGAGUGAGAUGGAUAAAAAUACUACUAGGAAAAAUGCCAUUAGUACCGGUUGGGAACCCCUUUACCCGUUUCGCAACCGGUAAUGGUGGUUCGGUACUAAGGGUCCUUUAGUACCGGUUGAAAUAACCGGUACUAAAGGGGUAUUAAAAAAAUGAAAAAAAUUGAAAUCCCCGUCGGGGCCCCACCCUUCCCGGCACCCGUCCCGUCACUGGCCCCGCCCCGCUGCUGGCCCUCGCUGCCCCCAGCCAGCCGCCCGCAGCCGCUCCCGCCGUCGCUGCCACGCCCCGAUGGCCACCGCCGAUCCUCGCCUCAGGCACGAGGUGAGGGGCGAGCGGAGAGGGGAGGAGAUGGGAGGCUGUGGAGGGAGGAAGGGAGGGAGGGGGCCGGUGGAGGGAGAAGGAGGGGCUCCUGGAGGGAGGGAGCCGAGGAAGGAUGAGGGAGGCGGAGGGAGAGGAUAAGGUGCUAAGGUGUGCGGGAGAGGAUAAGGUAAGAGAGCUGGCGUGCCGUAGAGGAUAAGGUGAGGGAGGCGGAGGGAGGGAGAGGAGGUGUGGAUUACUUUAGUACCGGGUGGUACAAGGGGGUCAAGGGAGGCUCCUUGGGGACUCUCCGUUAUGCUCGGUACUAAUACUCAUAUUAGUACUGGGUUAAAAUGCAACCGGUACUGAGUCUCAGGAUGAAUGCUCAUUUUUCUAGUAGCGAAAGGACUGAGAAAAGAUAAUUGGGAAAGAUGAUUAGUUGGAGCUGUAAUGUUUGACCUUAGAAGAUUAAGGAAAAAAAGAUAUCGGCAAAGGAGGACAGGUGGAAAAUCGUAGGCAAGAGAAAGAAAUGGACAGAGGUACAUGGGCUGCAGAUUAGCAAAGUGUGCGCUGUCCUUUGUUGCACAGGUUCUCCUCAGAGGCCCAACGCUAGAUAGGCCAAUAUCUAGGCCUGCGGAUCAAAUUCCCCAACGGGCCUCAGCGAAUAAAGCUGGGCUCGGUAAUUGGGCCUCCUCUUGGUCCAGCAACGCUUCCGUAUCUCACUCAACAGAUCGAAUCGUAGCCGCAAUCUCCCGAUCCAACGGUCAGAAAUACCCCAGGCUGGGACGGUAAGUGAAAUACCGUUCACCCCGAGCCUCUCUGGCGCGCGCCACGGUGCUCGCCGCGCCGUCGCGCUCGGCAUCGCCGGCGCCCGCGACGCAGCAGCACCCUCCCCUAGUGUCAUCUCAGCAGCCUUCGGCCCCGCCUGCUCCCCUUCCCGCGCUCCUCCACUCGCCUCCACUUGCGGCGGCCGAUGUCUUCCCGUGCCGCCCGGGGCGACACCGCGCAGCCCCGUCGCGCUGCGCGGCUGCCUGCUGGUGUGUGGCAGGUGGCGAGCAGUUGGGCAACCGAUCAUCGCAUUGCCGGCCGACUGGCGUGCUUGGUCUGGAUCUGCGUCUUCUUCCUCUGUUUCCUUCCUUCCUUCUUCCAACGCACCCUGCCUGUACUAUGCGCAGGUCGAAAUCAGUGCUCGCGUUGCGCUGCAUGCUGGGUGUUUGUCAGAAUGCCUGCCUGGCGUCCUCCCUUUUCAGCAGCGGCACUAGCUAGCUGGGGCUGAGAGAAGCAAGGGCACCCGAUGGCCUGCCGUCCCAGACCAUGCAUUUUCAUCUCCUCCAAUCGGUACAUUCUCGUCCUCACACCAAAAUUGAUGGAUGGAUUUGAUGAUCUCGAAUAAUUUCAUUUGGCUGUCACAUCCAUCUCGUUCUAGUGCCUUCCAGUGUGCAGCAGCAUCAACCUUAGCUAGAUCAGUAAUUUACGGAUGCUUUUGCAUUCAGGACAAAACUACAGUUGCAUUGUGCCCACAAAGCCUGCCAUAACUUGUUUGUUCAGUUAACAACCACAAACACAUAUCAAAUUUUGUGAAUCACAUAGUGUGAAUGUUCCAAGGAAACAAACACUGCCACCAAUAAUGUUCUUGCCUGCUUCUUGAAAACAUAUAUAGUUAAUAGCCAGUGCUGCCCCCAAAAUUGUGUGGCUGCGAGUUGUAAUUCUGAAAAUGAGCUCAUGGAGCUCUUCUUCCGAUAUAUCUUUCCAUGUUGGACUGUUGGUAAUGGGCUUGGUCAUUAGACGACCUUGAUAACCAACUGGUUUCAAUUGUAGCAUAAAAUUUACUGCCCUCCCUUCCCUUUUCUGAAACUGGAGGUGAUGUUUAGUUAUAUGCCGCAUGAUUCAUCUGUGGAGCCUAUUCCUUUAUAUCUGAACCUGAAACACCAAUAUCCACCUGGUUGGCUGGUUUCAUUUAUCUUUGACCUCUAGAUUUUGUUGGUUCUCACUGGGUUUGAAGCACGCUGUUGUUUCGUUAUAUAGUUUGGUUUCAGAAAUCUUCUGAAUUCAGUAACAAGCAGAGUUCACAUAGGCGUUGAUAUGAUAGACGACAUUAUGUUAUACUCUUUUGUACAUCAUACCAAAUCAUUAAUGUAGCUUAUAUAUGUUGAGUUAUGUAAGUUAGCAAAUAAGUAAGAGUAUAGAGACUUGAAUGUAAAAUUGUUUAUAAAAGGAGGAAGAGGGGCACCAGCUCUGGAAGCUCUGAGAAAUUCCCCCAUUUGCUUCUCUUCUAUCUCAUCUCCAAAUCCCCAUUGAAUCUCUCUAAAUCCAACAAUAUAUAUCUUUACAUUGACAAAAACUUUUCAUGCCCAGCUAUCACUUGGCCAGAUCUGGUAUCUUAGUACAAAGGGUAGAACAUGGAUCGGAUAUAAUAAAAAUGGCAAGCUUGAAAGUUGUAAAGCAGCUGCCACCGUCGAUCCUCGCCGUCGGGUCCAAGUUGCACUGGUGGCACCCGGGACGGUGCAACCUUGGGUACGGUAGACUUGCAAUUCGCUGCUUUACCUGGAAGAUAUGUAGCAGGCUAUUAGUGUCGUAUAUUGCAGUACCAUACUGUAUAAUAUAAAAAGUUGAAGAAAUUAAAAGAGAAGACCAAGUUGCAUUAUGUUCACCUCCUCCUAUGCCGGCCGCCUAGCUAUAGCAAGAGGGUGUGUGUGUCCUGGUUUUCUACUUGAAGAAGGCGCCGGUCUUCAUGGCGUCCUCGUUGGCCUCACCAAGAGCCGCCUCGCUGAGGUACUUGUCAGCAAGCUGCACACGCUUGACGUUCUCCUGCUCCUCCACCAGCAUGUGGCCGUACUCCAAGAGCUUCUCGAUCGUCAUCUUGGGCUGGUCGAACGUCGGCGGGCCGUCCUUGGAGUUGACGAGCUUCUUGCCGAUGUUCUCGAUGCCGGUCUCGGCGACCCACUUGCGGACCUCGUCAUCGUACACCCGGGCACGCAGGGCGCCGAAGAAGUCGAUGGACUGGCCGGGGAAGGUGUCGACGAGCUUGACGACGUCGGCUUCCGGGACGCCGUCGGUGCGGAAGAUGCCCUUGCAGACACCGAUCCGGUCCUCACGGGUGGGAGCCCAGUAGAACUUCUCCAUACGGCCGUCACGGAUGAGCGGCGCGUACAGGGUGGAGAAGUCGUUGCCGGUGACGAUGAUGGGGACACGGGGGUUCUCCUCCUUGUUGUACAUGCCGGGGAGCUGCACGUUGGUGGGGUUGUCGGCGAUGUUCAUCAGGGUGGCGUUCACCAUCUGGUUGUUGACGGUAUACUGGGUGGUCCCGCCCAUGCGACCGGCACCGGCGUCGAGAUCGUUGAUGAAGAGGCAGCACAUCUUGCCCUUCUUGAUGAUGUCGGCGGCCUCACGGUACCGCUGCCUGAUGAGCUUGGCGGGCUCUCCGGCGUUGCCGCUCUCCAGCUCUCCGGCGCUCAUCAUGAUGGGGCUGCGUGUGUGUGGGGAAGAUGGUCAUUUAUCUUAUCUGCUGUAUAUAUGAAAUCAAACCAAAAUUAAAGAUUGUUGCUUACGUGAUGCCCAUCUUGGCGAAGACAAGCUCACACUGGAAGGAUUUCCCUUGACCCUUGCCUCCCCAGAUACCCAGGAUGAGGGGCACCUUGAUGUUUGGCAGGGUCAUGAAGUUCUUGGAGAGGUGGACGACGAGCUUGUCCAUGAAGGCCGGGGCGAUGUAGAAGCCAUCCUUCAUGUUGUCCCACCCGGUGUAGUCCCUCAAGCCCUGGCUGAGGUACUCGUAGGAGCUGAGCACGGCCUCGUGGGUGCCGUCUCCCAUGGGUGCCUGGAAGAGGGAGUCGACGAAACCCUUGCCCCUGGUGAUGUCCUGCUGGUCGUCGGAGAUGUCGUUGACGAGGCCCCUCCACCUGUCUUUGUCGGUCUGCUUGGUCUCGUCGACAUCCUUGGCGGCCAUGACCUUGAACCUGUUGGCGCUGGAGCUCUUGACAUGGUAGUUCACGGCCGCGGUCGCUUGCGUCGACCUGAGCUUCUUCCCGAGGAAGCUGGCCGGGGUGGAGGCCUGUAUGUACGUUGUCAAGGAUGCACUUUAGUCGUCAGGCGACUCUCGCAUAUAUGAUCGAUGCAUGAGAUGAUGGAAGAGAACUCACCGGAGCUCCGACGGUGGAGGAGAAGGCGGCCGCCAUCUCUGCGCUGCUUCUUCUUCCUCCUUGGGCGACCUUGCUAGGAAGGGCACGAGUGAUCUAUCACUGAUGGCCGCCGCUGCUGCUCUUCUCAAAGUACUGAGGCCGAGCCUUGCAAGGCAUUAAAUAAAGGAGCACGUGUGGUGGCCGUGUGUCUGCCGCUGCGGCUGCCAUGGCCUGUGGUCGGGAUCGGAGGUCAGGGAAGAGCCGCAAGCCGCGUGGUUGUGGAUCAGCUCCCACAUCUCUCGGAGGCCACACGCUGAGGAUGGGGUUUGGCAGACGUGGCGACAUCCCGGCGGGCCAAUGGGAUGGCUUGCUUGCACUGGCAACACUAAGAGAGUAAGAGACCAUCUCUUGGCUUGUGUUGCAUGACACUGAUAGGCCCCCGGGCCACAGGAAGGCUGCUCCGCCUGCAGGAUGGAUGAGGCAUCCAAAUUUUGUAUCCGCAUGCAGGUUUUCGGGAGUUUCUAAUUUAUUUGUAAUUCACUGGUACUCCCUUAGUUCCAAAUUUUAAGUCAUCCUAAAUUUCUUGGAGAGUCAAACUAUUUUAUAUUUGAUCAAAAUUAUAUAGAUGAUUACAAAUAUUUGUGGCAUCGAAUAGAUAUACUAUGAAAAUAUAUUUAAUGAAAAAUCUAAUAGUACAUGCUUUAUUUAUAAAUUUGAUCGUUUAUACUUUCCAAGAAAGUUGGAAUAUACAAUAUCUACGGAUUCAAGAAUUUAGCAUUUUGCCCUAAUUUUUCUUGUUCACGCAAGCAUACGCUAGUUAGUCACGGCUAUAGUAAUUAUUAUGCAACUACAAUAAAUAAAAGCGAAUAGUUUAUGAAAGUGGUCAAUGUAUCUUUAUCAUUUAAAUUUCACUGUGCGAUCCUUCACUAUAUUGAAAUCAUCAAUAAAAAAAUCAAAUUUGUCGUGACCUUCAUUGCAAUCUCUUUCUCAAUAUGAGACAAGAAAUUAGAAAUCGGAAAUAGUUUAGGAGACAUGGAUUUGCCUACAUUUGGUUUGAGUCGGAGGAGGAACAUCAAGAGCAGAAUGCGCGGUUGAUGUUGCUCUCCAUCGCGGCCGCGACCACUUGCCAUCGUUGGCGUGAUGCCGCAGUCGCAGAGCUAGAGUCCGUGGCGCUGAGCGCGAAUGUCAAGUCCACUGCAACUGCGAGAUUGAAAACGAAACAUAGCGAGGACGAGAUCUUGUCAUCUUAGCGAGCGGCUGCAGGUGGCUGUAUGCGUUGGGCAGUUGGAUUUAGCUCCUAUGAUCUACUGACCAUUGGCUAACAAAGGGUAGCAAACAUUUUUUUUUUGGUUGGGUGUGACCAUGGUCCCUGCCCAGUUCCGGGCCACAGGAAGGCUCCUCCGCCUGCAGGAUGGAUGAGACAUCCAAAUUUUGUAUCCUAGCUAAAGUGCACCACAAAUAUUAAUAUUAAUAUUCUCGUAUAUAUGCCUAUUACAAACUUGUUUCUUGUUAACGCCAAACAUGAAUUGAAGGCAGUUUACAAUUAAUUUGCAAAAAGAUAAAAGAGGACUGUGGGCAGAGCAUCAUCAGUUGUAGACGCAGCUGCCGUCGUCGCUUCUGGCUGUUGGGUCGAAGUUGCCGGCCUUUGGGUCGGUGCACCCCUCGGGCACGGGCACGCCCACCUGCUGCGCCGCCUUGCCGUAGUACAAGUUGCCGGCGGUGAUGGCUUCGUCGUGGUUGGCGUCGCCGAGCGCCGCCUCGCUGAGGUACUUGUCGGCCAGCUGCACGCGCUUGACGUUCUCCUGCUCCGCCACCAGCAUGUGGCCGUACUCGAGCAGCUUCUCCAGCGUCAUCUUGGGCUGCUGGAACGUCGGCGGGCCCUCCCUGGAGUUGACGAGCUUCCGGCCGAUGUUCUCGAUGCCGGUCUCGGCGACCCACCGGCGCACCUCGUCGUCGUACACCCGGGCUCGCAGCGCGCCGAAGAAGUCGAUGGACUGCCCCGGGAAGGUGUCGACGAGCUUCACGACGGCCUCGUCGGGGACGCCGUCGGUGCGGAAGAUGCCCUUGCAGACUCCUAUCCUAUCCUCGCGGGUGGGCGCCCAGUAGAACUUGUCCAUGCGGCCGUCGCGGAUGAGCGGCGCGUACAGCGUGGAGAAGUCGUUGCCGGUGACGACGAUGGGGACACGGGGGUUCUCCUCCUUGUUGUACAUGCCGGGGAGCUGCACGUUGGUGGGGUUGUCGGCGAUGUUCAUCAGGGUGGCGUUCACCAUCUGGUUGUUCACCGUGUACUGCGUGGUGCCGCCCAUGCGCCCGGCGCCGGCGUCGAGGUCGUUGAUGAAGAGCACGCACAUCCUGCCCUUGCUGAUGAUGUCGGCGGCCUCGCGGUAGCGCUGGCGGAUGAGCUUGGCGGGCUCGCCGGCGUUGCCGCUCUCCAGCUCGCCGGCGCUCAUCAUGACGGGGUUGAUGCCCAUCUUGGCGAAGACGAGCUCGCACUGGAAGGACUUGCCCUGGCCCUUGCCGCCCCAGAUGCCCAGGAUGAGGGGCACCUUGAUGUUGGGCAGGGACAUGAAGUUCUUGGCGAUGUGGACCACCAGCUUGUCCAUGAACGCCGGAGCGAUGUAGUAGCCGUCCAUCAUGUUGUCCAGGUUGUACUGACGGAGACCCUGGCUGAGGUACUCGUAGGAGCUGAGCACGGCCUCGUGGGUGCCGUCGCCCAUGGGCGCCUGGAACAGGGAGUCCACCAGGCCCUUGCCGCGAGUGAUGUCCUGCUGGUCGUCGGAGAUGUCGUGGGCGAGGCCCCUCCACCUGUCGCUCUCGGUCUGCUUGGUCUCGUCCACGGCCUCCUUCUUACUAUUGCUGGCCGACGCCGCCAUCGCCAUGACGACGACUCUGCUUCGACGGUGCUGCUUCCUGGUGGUGAUGAGCUUCUUCUUCUUCUUCCCAACGCCGAGGAAGCUGCUCGGCGUCGAGGCCAAAUUUAAAGCAGCAGCAGCAGCCAUCUCGAUCGAUCGAUCUCAAGAUUAUUGGACGUACAAAUUGAAUGGGAUUGAAGAUGAUGACGAUGAGUUGUAGUAUAUAUAGCAGGGUAAAGAUAUGCAGCUGCUAAAUUGAUGAGCAGGCAGUAGCUAGUGUGGUCUGGAUCCUUCCCGAUUGCUCACUGGAUCUCCAGAACGUUAACGAACAAGUGUGCAGUGGUGGCCUGGUGGGUACGUGAGGCUGAUGAGUGGCCAACAUGUUAGUACGUCCAUCCAAACACUGCUAUCCCAGCCUGACAUGCGUACGCUGUCGAUCGGAUGGGCCGCGUGGGCCCCCACCCUGGAUUUAGCAUUUGAGUACCGCUCUAUCCAUCCAUCCUGUUUUAGCACAGCUUUUUUUAAGUGUUUAUAAUAAUUCUUACUAUAUAUCUUGUAUGUCUAAGAAAAAAAAUCAAAACAAACUACAGUUUAAAAUGGAGGGAAUAUUUAGCAAAAAAAAAUAGGCCAUGUUUGGACCGCAUAUACCGGCUCCAGGGAUCGCCAAAAUGAUUGAGCAAGAACCGAGGGUUUACUGAACCCUUGCAUUAACCCUCAAUCUAUGAGCUUAGUGCGCUAAGGUCGUUGGGUUGGGGAAAAAACUCAUCUUUAGUCGUACUUGCAUUGGAUGGUUCUUAGCGAUUUCAAGAUUAGCCGCUAGACGAUCGCAUAACCUUUGAUCUAACGGAUGACCACCGGGAGCCUUGUUUCUACUCUUUUGUCACGUUUUAGAUACUUGAGUCUCGAGGCUUUUGUCAAGAGAGAACGAAUUGAAGGAUCCAUACAGCUUUUACAAAGCAUGAGAAUCGAAAUUGGUGAUCAUCUCCACGGAAGGGGAGAAGACGACAGGGUAUGCAUGGCGAGCUCAGCAGCUGGCUGCAACGAGCUCUCUGCCGCAGCACGCAGCAGCUGGCGUGCUCCUCGAUCUAGAUAGAUUGUAACGUUUUCGUCAGCGCCCCUCGAUGCCGCCCUGGCUCUCCAUCGGAGUUCCUUUCUCCACUUCCGGUCACAUCAAUCUCCAUCGGCGGCUGUGGCUCACGGCUUCGCCGGAGGUGCCGGAGAGUCCAUUUGUCCAGGCCUCGCCGGCGUGGAGCGAGCGAGCGACCGACGACCUGGGGACGUCGGCGUUCACCCGGAACGCCGCGUGGGAGAGGAGAGGCGACAAAGAAAAAAAAAAAAGGGAAGCGUCAAGAGUACUGGUCGUUUUCUCCCUCUAUCUGAGGAGUGUUGAAAAGAAUUAUUGGAAUGGAACAAACCAAAAAAUAUUGAAAAAAAGAAGAUGCAUUUCCAAUACUAGUCGUUUUUUUGGGAAAGAGAGACCUUUUUUUUGAGGGGGGAAAAGAGAGACUGAUGCUCUGAGGAAUUGAGGAAACACAGGUACCAAAAAAAGAAGAGGGAGAAAACACAAGCCGGGCCUUAACGGGCGGCCAGGCUAUGGCCCGCUAAGGCACGGCCCGUUAAGGCCCGCUCGGGGUCCCCAUCCCACCACGCGCCCCUCCCAAGCCCAUGGGUCGUGGCUGGACUUAUGGGGGGAUCAUUCAUGGGGCAGCAGCUUCUCAUUUCUAGGACUCUGUUUCUGAUAUUGUUCCCGCUGCAUCUGCUCAUCCCCAUGGUGAAUGUUGCUGUUGAUCUGUAGAUUGGAUUUGUUGGUCGGUAGUUUGAUUAGAUUUGUGCUGAAUCAUAAUCUCUGCCUGUGAUAUUUUUCUUCAUUGCGGAUGUGUGCCGAGUAUUAUCCCCUUUGUUCAUUCUGUUGGCUUGCUUUCAUUGAUCUUAAGAUAACUGGUGUCAUAAAUUCACACUAGCUGAUGCACUUGCAGAUAGCUAUGUAAAUAUGAAAAAGAAGUAUUUUUUUUUAUCCUUUUGUUUUUUUUGCAUCAUAUCUGUUUAAAGGUACAGCAUUAGGAUUUUUUUUUGUUUCUGGGGAAUCAUAUCUGCUUAAAUGGUAUAGAAAAUGCUGAGCGUACUGUCAAAUAGAUUUUCCAGCAGUCUGCUUUCAGUUGUUUGCCGCGCAUUCACUGGGGAAGCACGCGCCAGGCAUCACCAGGCUCCUCGUGCCCCUGCUCUGCUCCAAGGACUCGGUGCUUCGACGCGCUGCUUUCCCUGUCAUUGUUAUGUUGAUAUUGGUUUACACGUGUCAUUCACCCCAAAUGGUGUUGCAAGGUUGAACCUAUUGUGGGAGGCUUUUGGUUUCCCUUGACCAAGUAUCACUAGUGAUAUCACUGCGUUCUGGUUAUGUAUGAAACACUUGUCUUUUUAAAACCUUUCUGAAUUUAGAAACGAAUUUGAAACCUUGGUUAUUCAUCAUGGGUUCACAGAUUUGUUUUUCUUUAAAAGAAUUGGGAAGUAGCUUUCUUUCUGGGUAUAUGUGGGGAAAUGCAUAUGCAAUCUUUUAUUUAUUGAGGUGACUGUAAAAUUCUUGUCUGACUGAAUAUGCGAUUUCAACCUACAUGCUAUACUUAGGGAAAUUUGUGAAUCUCCUAAUGUGGCUUAUAUGUGUGGAGUCACUUAACCUAUGCACUUGGACCUCCACGUUUUAUGAACCUAAUUUGACAGCCUGCUCGUCUUUUAUUUUCUACCAAUCAGCUAGGAACGAACAUGGUGAUGUUUGCAUCUCUGCCAUCAAUGGCUUACAUGUCAUUAUGUAUCACAUUAGCAAGUCUUGUUUUGUUAUUGGGCGGGAUGACGGGGACACUGGCUGGAAUUAAAUCAAAGUGGUAGAUCACAGGGUAUUCAUUGCCAUGUAUUUCUGCAGUUGCAUGGACUUGCAUCAAACGGACCUCCCUACUUAUGUGAUUGUCCUAUAUGAUCUCCUUUGAUUUCAUUUGCAUAGAGCUAUGUACACUGUAAUCACAUUAGCUAGAACACUCGCUUUUUGCUUCAAAUUUGAAAUUCAUACCAUGAUGGACUUGAACGCUGAAUUUCUUGAUUGCUGAGUUAGUAAUCACAUUGUGGCGCUGCCACAGAAGCUGGACUCUUCAUUGUUGUUGCCUUGUGGGCUGCCGUGUGCAAAGAACAAGAGCGCACGGUAUUAUAAUAGCAGAGCAGAACACAGACAAGCGACAAGGAGCGGAGCAGAGCAGAGCACAGCCAAGCACAAGCAGUAGAGUAGAGCAGAGCAACCGGGAGAGGAGAGGGCACAUAUGCAGAGUAGAGCAGAGCCAAGCGCAAGCAUUCAUGCACUCAAGCAUGCAGCAGAGGUGUAGCAAGGCAAGCACAAGCAGCAGAGCAGAGGGAAGGGAAGGCUGGGAGAUGAAUAGGCGAAUAGUUAGUUACCUGGACAGAGCAGAGGGAAUGGAGAUGAUGCAGAUGCUUCCGGAGACUGGAGAUUUGGAGAGGAACAAGGCCACGUUGUGAACAAGGUCUCCUUUCUCUUCUCUAUUUCCCGUGCAAUACUCGUGCAUAGUGGCUGCCUCAUCCUCCAGGACGCCCACUUCAACCUGAGGCGGGUGCCACAGAUAUCCUGGCUAGGCGACGGCUAUCCCCAGCACGCCCCAGCGCCUUACGAACUAUGAUCCUAAUACUAUAAAUUGUCACGUACUCACCUUGUAAUCUUGUUUCAAGCAUGCUCUAUAUGUCAACCUGUAAGGUUAACUUCGUUUUUCCUUUUCUGGGUAGGGAAGUGGAUAUUGCUGUUAUUUAUGUUAUGUUGAUAUUGGUUUCCACAUGUCAUUCAUCCCAAAUGUGUUGCAAGGUUGAACCUAUCAUCGGAGGAAUUUUUUUCCCUUGACCUUUAUAUCACUACGCUCUGGUUAUGUAUGAAACGCUUGUCUUCUUAAAAACCUUAAUUUAGAAACGAAUUUGAAAUAUUAUCUUCGUUUACAUCCUGUAUAUGUGUUCUCUACCUUUUGUCCUAUAUUACCUUUUGUCCUAUAUGAUCUGCUUUGAUUUCAUUUGUGCAUAGUUUUUUCAAUUCAGACCUGGUGAUUUCUGAGGUUGAUGUGUCACACCCGAUUUUAAGAGUGCAUUAAAUACAUGUGCGCCAGGAUCAAGUUACACACAUGUACGACAUAAGCAAAUAUCAAAGACAGUGCCAUAACGAAAUAAAGAGAGUAUUAAUCAUUAUUACAUGAUCGAAAGUCUCAAAUAAACCACAAAGUCUAUUUAUUAUGCAGCGGAACUCCUAAGAUAGCAACGUCUCCAUAGGCAGCUGACUGAAGAACUGUACGCCUAGAACUUCUCAAAAUUGUGCAGGUACUCCUCCAAAUUAGCUUGGUCUGAAUAGCGGUUUUGCAAGGGUGAGUACAUUUAUGGUUGAUACUCAACAAGUCGUGGGAAACAGUGUAGUGUAAAGCAAAUCAAGGUAUGGCUAAGGCUUAAACAGCAUCAGCUUUUAAUUUAGUUGGUCAAAUUUUAUUAGCAAUUAACUAGAUGUAAGUUUAUACCACCCAAAAUUAAACAAGAACAUGAAUAAAAUAAUAACAUAACCAUAAAUGAAAUGACAAUAAUUUAAAUCCAUCUUUCGAUAGCAUUAUCAUGUGAGCAAUUUUUUCCCCUUGACCUUUAUAUCACUACACUCUGGUUAUGUAUGAAACACUUGUCUUCUUAAAAAUCUUAAUUUAGAAACGAAUUUGAAGCAUUAUCUUCAUUUACAUCCUGUAUAUGUGUUUUCUACCUUUUGUCCUAUAUGAUCUGCUUUGAUUUAAUUUGUGCAUAGUUUUUUCAAUUCAGACCAAUUUCUGAGGUUCAUGUUGUGCUGAUAAGCAGCCUACUAUUCAAUAACACUUUCAUGUGGCAUGUUCAUGUUAGCUAGCUAGAAACACUGUGCUUUUAGCUUCAAAAUUCAAAUUCAUGAUAUUAUGGACAUUGACAAUGAAUUUCUUGAUUGCUAAGCUAUGUACACUGUAAUCAAAUUGUGGGGCUGAUAAAAUAAGUAGCGUUGAGACACAUAACAAUUGAAUCUUAAGCUUCACACAGAAUCUGGACUAGUCAUCCUCAUUCUUGUCAUGCUGGAAAUGUCUUUGAUACAUUUCAAUCACAGGCAAUUGAAUUCGUACUGGGGAGGAUGGCAAUGGUGCGUGAAGAGAGAUCAAUGUGGCAAAUCUCACACUGUUCAUUACCAGGUAUCUCUGAUUUCUGGUUAUUUUAAAUUUACCUUGACAUGUGACUUAUUGAGGUAGUGUAUUUCAUCUAAUGGUAGUUCUGAAUUUAUGGUAACCUUGGAUGGGGUUUGUCACUUUAUCCACGCACGGACUUACAAAGGACAGCAAAUGACUAUUUUUACAGGGCUCCUGUCUAACCAUGGACUAUACUUUAUGUACCCUUUUUUGACAUGGUAAUUUGAGGUUAAUGGAAAAGUAGCAUAUUUUCCCUGUAGUUACCUUGGGUUUACUUUCGCAUUGUUUUUUUACAGAGUUUGCAACCAGUGUUUCAUUAUCAGAUGAACGCAAGCAGAGGGUAUCACUCGUGGAGAGCCUUGGCGUUGCAGAGCAGUCCCACUCCAACUUGUAGAUAGUAUAUAUUCCCUCUGUUCUAAAAUGUAAGGUAUUUUGAUUUUUUUAGAUAUAUAGAUUCUACUAUGCUAACCUGAUAACCCCAUAAUCCAUCCUGAGGAAAAACCAGGCUAAGAAUAAGUGCUUUCAUGACAUUUAAAUGUCCUGGAAAGUCUUGUUUUGUUUAUAUGCUUAAGCAAAGUAGCUCUGGAGGGCAUGAAAGAAAAGCAUCGUGUUGAUGAGUAUUGCUGGAUGUUUAACUAUUAGUAUGGUAUAUUUAACUGAACAAGGCCUAGGACAGCACAAGGAUGGCCUUUAGGACAGCAUUGCUUUCUCGGCCUAAUUGGCGCCUUACAUUUGGCGACCAUACACGGCCCGUUAAGGAAAUUUAUGCCCAAGUUUGCCGAAGCAUUUAAGGCACAAAUGUUUUUGACUUCUGAUGGCCUGUUUUUGACCUCCCAUGGCCCAGUAGCGACCCUAGUUUUUAUCAGCAAUGACCAAAUGUUAGCCCAGUUUUGCCCCAUCUUAGGGUCUAAUCAUGGACCAAUAAAACAUGUGCUAGACUUCAUGGCCACCGGAUGCGUGUUCGGCCACGUAAUCGUGUGCUAUAGCUCACGGGAGGCUGAAAAUGGCCUGAAGGGGCACAGUGGAUGAAAACGUUAGGGACGCUCGGAACACAAGAAAAUGACCACCAGAUACGUGUUUGGCCAUUGUAACUGUGCGCUAUAGUUGAUAGGUCGAAAGCGGCUUGAAGAGGCAUCAGUGAUGGAAACAUGGGGGAUGGUCGGAACACUUGAAAAUGGCACUGGAUAAGUGUGCUUAUUCCUUGCGGGAUGCUGAAAAUGGCUUGGAAGGGUCAUCUAGGAUGGAAACUAGGUGGACAAUAAGUGAAAAUGGGCAGCGGACACGUGUUCGGUCAUGUAACCGUGUGCUAUAGUCCACUAGAGGUCGGAAAACUGCCCUAGGGACUCUAGAGAUGAAAAUGUGAGGAACAGCUGAAAGGUUACGUGUUUGGCCAUGACAGCCCUAUUAGGAAGCGAUAGAAGUGGAAAGAUAGCUGGUUUCAUAUUGGCAUCCCAUCUCUGAACUUUUGCUUCCCCCUUCCCUCCGUAAUCCCGGGGCAUCGAAUUAAAAAGUAUACAAAUCACUUUCAGAUGUAAUUGAGGGUAAAGAGGGGAGGUUUCACGAGACUCUACAAUGUUCAAAUCAUUCGUUCGUUAGGAUGCCUCAGCUUCAUACAUUGUUGCACUUCCACUUGACACCUAUUUAAAUGGUUCGUCUCGCUGCUACAAGGUAUCAUCAGAUAUAGAAGAAUCAGAGACCGGGGGUAAUAGCAAAAAAGGAAUAUAACUCGUCUGAGGAAGUGGGCGCAGGGGCAGUGGGGUAAGGUAAUUGAAGUAACUAGCCAGUUUCUUCCCGAAACUUUCCAAGAAAAAUUCCGAAUUGGAUCCAAAAUUGACGGAUUAAUCAACCAAAAUAACCGUGAGCAGCCACAAUGUUAUAAAUGUUAUAAGUCCCUUCUUCUUGACCAAAUUUGUAACUCUUAUUAGCAGACUCAUUUUUAGUGGUUUCCCUGAUCAAACUAGAGGUUACCAAGGAACCGUGUGCUAUAGCCCACAGAUGCCUGGAAACAGCUAGGAAGGGCUUCGGGGAUGGAAACAACGUGGACGGUCGGAACACGUGAGAAUGACCACGGGAUACAUGUUUGGCCCUGUAACAGUGUGCUAUAGGAAGCCGGAAAUGGCUAGGAGGGUCACCAGGGAUGAAGAUGCAGGGAUGGAUGGAACAUGUGAAAAUGACCACUAGUGGUUAGUGGCAGGUCUAGAGAGAUAUCUCAUCAAAUUGGUGAGUUAUAUCCGGUUUAAACGAGGAUAAAAAUGGGUGUAUUUUCCACUCAUCAUAUUGUCUUUUCGUAGCUGUACCGCCUUUCGUGUGUUGUAUUGUUCCCCAAACACUAAGUCUCCGAGGCUUGAGAAAAUAAGGAAAGUGAUAGCAGCCCAAAAAUUGACCAAGUUUCUUUCCCCCUCUGGCUUUCUACUAGGAUUCAGAAUCCUCUUUUCCAUGACAAUCUUAAUUAUCUCCCAUACUCCAAAACUCACAAAAACAUCAAGAGUCCGCUGAGAAUAAAUUUAAGUAAAAAACAUGCACACAUAGAUCCACAUCCAAUGGCAAGGAAAGGGGCGUCAGACAAAGCCCAAUGGCAACUGCUGACAUGCGAUUAAAUUCAGAUCCACAUCCGGCCAUUCAAUAAUACGGUUGGAGUUGUGGCACAGAUAUAUUAUUGCAUGAUCAUCAAGAUAAGAUCGUACAGUGACUGAGUGAGACAAUAAAUAGCCAAGUAAACUAUUUUAUCCUGCUGCAAGCUGCAUUCAUAAGUUUAUUUCACCUUUGAUCACAAUACUCUUCACACACGUACGUCUCAGGGAGAUCUCACUUCCGCUGGACUGCUCACUUCCGCUGUCGUCGGUACUGCCAAAGACAUAAGCUCACAUCUGCUAUUGCGGAGCAGGCCAAUUUGCUGCGGAACUUCGGCGACGACCUGAAGGACAUGAACUCGGUGCUGGAGUCCAUCUCAGCAGCGCUCUAGGACGCUGACACCGGUAGAAAAACGACCUUCCAUCGUCAACAAAAAUCCCGGUAGCUUUUUUACUCGGUACUAAAGAGGUUUUAAUCUCGUGCAAACACCUUUAGUCCAGAUUGCUAUUACCACGCAACCCGGACUAAAGCGUCCCCCGCGAGUUAGUAUAUAAGGAUUGCAUCCUUUACUCAGUCAGAUAUAAUAUGUAGGUGAGAUGGUAAGGAAGCUAUGCGUGAGGCUUCAGGUUGUGGGUUCGAAUCCAAGUGGGUGCAGCUGUGGCUUAAGCGGCUGAGGCACGCCGCCAUAGACAUCUCAGAUUUGCUCGAAGACUACCAAGACACUAGUGAACCCUUAACAGUAAAGGUGAGUACUUAUGAAUGUCAGCAUCCAUGUUGUCCAUGCUUCCAAUGUAAUAACAAGAUGGACUACUCUUCCUAGCGGACUCUUCACAACCACUCGUAAAGCUAUGCGUUUCUCAAUGCAAUUUCGUAGAAGCCAAUCGAUCCAACCAAGUGACUAAAUCAUUCGUCCUUUCCAAUGAUGUGCAUCAGGUUUUCUAUAUGAAGGGCAUGUCUAGCAAACCUAAGAUUUCAGAAGAAAAAGAAAAAUCAUUGGAGCCAAAGAGCCACAUAGUUCUUCUAGGAAAAAAAUCAUGGGAGUCGAGAACAUAUCAAACCAAUCAGGGGAUUAUGGUCAGCUUAAUGGCAUGCCUCCAUUCGAUGUCGAAGUUCACCCAAGCAUCAUGUUAGCCAAACAUCAAAUGUUCGUGCGUUGUUACGGUAAAGAUCAAUUGUGUUUUUUAAACUCUUGGAAUUUUUUUAUCUAAGUUUUUAUUUACACUUAUUGGAUGUCUACACAUUUGCUAGAAAACUAAAAUAAUUUGGACUUAAUUAUUUCUUUCAACUGAAGUACUCACUAAAUUUCUACCUUUUUAUUUAAGCAAGAGAGUUGCUAAAAAAAAUGGAUACGUAACCAUGUUGUAUCAUACAAAGUAACCACGUUUCACAUAUAGUCCGGCUUAGCAAACACCAUUGUUUUCUGAACAUAGCGUACAUGAGUUAACAGACAUGGAUUUAUUUCUAUUGCAAGUAGCAUAGCGUACAACCUGCCUGCACCGAUGCAGCUCAAUAUGCGAUAAUUUUUAUCUUCCCAUGUAAUUUUUCUACUCUAGUACAUAUUGAACUCCACAUUAAUGUCAUGUUCUUUCGCGCCCCAGAAGGUUCCUAAAGUUUGGAAACUUAAUAGAUAGCCAGAAUUUUUUUUAAAGAUAUUUAUAUGGAUACUUGUAUGUUCUUUCCAAACUAACAAUAUUGUUUACCAAUAUCAGAAGGAAUAUGGUUAGGAGCCAUUGCCGCAUAUGGCAGGUGAUGGUAGAUGGCGUAUGGGGUUUCGUUAAUUUAAUGGUAUAAUAAGCUGAAAUACAUUUUCUAUUUGCAAAUGAAUCAUAGCUGAAAUUGGUGGGAUUGUUUUUUUCGCCGGUUUAGCAUCCUGUGCACCAGUUCAACCGGAGGGAAGCUGUUUUUUUUCUUUGGUUUUCCACCGGUUCACCGAGACCGAUGACAAUUUUAUGGCAGAAUCAUUACUUGUUUUACUAUUAGGUGAAGAUUUUAGCGUUUAGGUAUCUCACAUUAAACGCAACUUCAACAAUCUAUUUCUAGUGUAUAAUGUAGGAGACCCCGUAAAGAGUCUACACACACAUAUAUGUUGACUAUGAAUGUAAGUUUGUUGGUUUUAUGUAUGUUCGUUUGGAGUUUAUGUAAAUUUUACAUUUUAUAGUUUUGUGUAUAUGACGAAGAUCCAUGACUUGCAUUAAUUUAGCCUUUCUUCCAACAACUCUUAUGCAUGCUGUUUCUAGGCGAGCGUACUGGUUGCAAUUUUGGUCCCCGAUAUAGUGUGAGGACUUAAGGGACACGUGCAGGUCGUAACCUUAGAUAUUUUUGCUGAGAAUGGAUGAAGAAGCAAUAAUAUACUUUGCUUCUGAUUUUCUCCAUGUCAUUUGCUUACUCUUAUCCCUUUUAUUUAUCAUUAUAAGAUGAAAAUAUUGUAAAAACUUGGCUACGUGCGGUCGCAGAAGCUAGAGACUAAAGCGUCCCCCACGAGUUACUAUAUAAAAGGAUUGCAUCCUCUACUCAGUCAUAUGUACUGUGUAGGUGAGAUGGUAAGGAAGCUAUGUGUGAGGCUUGAGGUUGUAGGUUCGAAUCCCACGCACCGCGUGCGCAUGCGCAUAUUUUGCGUGAAAAAUCGCAUGACUUGUGGUCGGCCAAGGAGAAGUGCGUGCGGCUGAGGCACGCCGCCAUAGACAUCUCGGAUUUGCUCCAAGACUACCAAGACACUAGCGAACCCUUAACGGCAAAGUUGAGUACUUACGCGUGUUAGCAUCUAUGUUGUCCAUGCUUCCAAUGCAAUAACAAGAAGGGCUACUCAUCCUAGCGGAUUCUUCACAACCACUCGUAAAGCUAUGCGUUUCUCAAUGCAAUUUCGUAGAUGUCAAUCGAUCCAACCAAGCGACUGAAUCAUUCGUCCUUGCUAAUGAUGUGCAUCAGGUUUUCUAUAUGAAGAACAUGUCUAGCAAAUCCAAGAUUUCAGAAGAAAAAUAAAAAUCAUGAGAACCAAAGCACCACGUAGUUCUUCCAGGUAAAAAAAACAAUCAUCCACUGGGAUGACACACAGUAGCGAUCCAAAACGUCCAUAUUAAGACUUUUUGAUAGCAGAAAAAACAUGAAAAUGUCUAAUAUUUGUAGUAUUAAAAGGAAAAAUAAUAUAUUCACUUGACCUUUUUUUCGUAGCAACGCACCGGUGCGUAGUCAGACUUAGGCCACGUUUGGAUACUCCCUACUAAAGUUUAGCACCUGUCACAUAGGAUGUUUGGAUACUAAUUAGGAGUAUUAAACAUAGGCUAAUUAUAAAACUAAUUGAACAGAUGGAGUCUAAUUUGCGAGACGAAUCUAUUAAGCCUAACUAGUCCAUGAUUUGACAAUGUGGUGCUACAGUAACCAUUUGCUAAUGGUGGAUUAAUUAGGCUUAAUAGAUUCGUCUCGCGAAUUAACAUAGGGUUCUGCAAUUAAUUUUAUAAUUAGCUCAUGUCUAGUCCUUCUAAUUAGCAUCCGAACAUCUGAUAUGAUACUGCUAAAGUUUAUCACCUAGUAUCCAAAUACCCCCUUAAUGCACGAUGCCUGUGCAUCCACUGGGCCUACCCUCGUGGAUCACGCGCUCGUGGAUCACGCGCACCAUGACAUGGCUCAUUAGCUAGUCGUGCUAAUCCUUACCACCAAAUUAAAAACUAGCAUGUGUUGUGUGUUUGUGACCCUAAACGACUACCACCUUCCCGAGUCCACCGGAGUUGCCAGUUCACCACUAAGCUGACUCUCCGAGCUUCAUGUCACUGUCACCGCUCCAAAGACCUAGAUCGGUUCGCUGUGCACCCCGCUUCGUCCUGAGCUAAAUCCCAUCACGAAAGGUGACCGGAUGCUCGUUUUCGAGCGAAUUCUAGCGAGAUUGCCACCACCUUUCCCCUUCCAGCCGAUCGCAGCUGUCUGAUCACAAACCGACAGCCCAGAUCGGAUUUGACCAGGUCAAUACCGGUCAAGCCGAGAUGCAUGCUGCUUUUGCAAGAAGGCCCCUAUUUUUCUCUCUUUUUGCACUUGAGGUCCUACGCAGUUCAAAAGUAAUUAGAUCUAGAUCCUUUUUCUUCUGUUUUAGCCCUGUUCUUUUAUAAAAUCCCACCCGCCAUCCUGUUUGGUAUUUUGACAUGUUAGACCUUCUAUUUAUAUGUUUAAUUAGGUUUUAGCCCUUGGUUUCUUUAAGUUUAGCUCUUGGAAGUUUAGUUUUCUCGCAGUUAAGCCCCUGAACCUUGUUUAGUUCAUAUCUUUAGCGUUUUAAAUCCGUUUUAAGAGAUUCUUACGCCCAUAAGUUCGUGUUGAUGCAUAGAUUAGUUGACUUAUACGGACCUUGCUGAUUCAGCUCCUUCAUUGUGCUUCAGAUCUCGCUAGUGAAGAAUAAUGGAUGGGCUUUGGUUGAGCUUGUAGAUCGACCUGCAGUUGCAGUGAAUGUGCUGAGGACUGGCGGUACCAAUAAUGGGAGGCCGCUGCUCUGCUUGCUACCAAGGCCUGCGACGCUUGGACGCCAUUCAGAGUGCAUAAUUUCCAAGGAUCUCAAGGGCUCCACACCACGUUCCAAGUGUUUUUUCUUUGCCGAGUGUUUUUAGCUCGGCACUUGGCAAAGAGCUUGUUUGCCGAGUGUCCGAAAAAAACACUUGGCAAAGAGAAAACACUCGGCAAAUUUGAUGUUUCCCGUAGUGAUGUACUAUUCAAACUUGAACUGGGAUGCAGGCUUCAGUACCAAAGAGAGCUCUGGGCGCGGGUGAGCAGUGAGCUGGCCGGGCAGGGAGCUCCAAAGCGACAGCAACAAAGAGAGAAAUGCUAAGAGUAAGAACGACACACGAGGUCACUUCACAUAGAUAAUAGCAGUACGAACCAUACAAUAUCCUCUCUCAGUUUCACUCCGCCUCACACACGGCUAGCACACCAUGCAUGCCGAUUUCAUAUUAUUAAUAUUAUUUUUUGGAUGGUUGUUGAAACUAUAUAUAUAGUUAGUCCAAUCUCACGUUUCCGAUUAUAAAAAUCAACGUAAAGAGAUCGGUAGGGAGAGCCGGCAUAAUGAAGCCGACGCGUGUAAUAAGCACCAGAGCCGGCAUUUAUACAAACUGGUACGAAUAGUAAAAAACUAGAAUUUAUAAAUAAAAAAAUGAUUUGCACAUCUAUGCAAUAAUUAGGGGUUAGUGGCAGGUCUAGAGAGAUAUCUCAUCAUUAUAUCCGGUUUAACGAGGAUAAAAAAGAGUGUAUUUUCCACUCAUCAUGUUGUCUUUUCGCAGCGGUACCACUUUUCGUGUGUUGUAUCGGUCCCCUAAUACGGAGUCUCCGAGGCCCGAGAAAAUAAGGAAAGUGAUAGUAGCCCAGAAAUCGGCCAAGUUUCUUUCCCCUUUGGCUUUCCUACUAGGAUUCAGAAUCCUCUUUCGCAUGACAAUCUUAAUUAUCUCCCAUACUCCAAAACUCACAAAAACAUCAAGAGUCCGCUGAGAAUAAAUUUAAGUAAAAAACAUGCACACACAGAUAAUAAUAAUAAUCAUGUUUCCAUAAAAUUGCUAAGUCCAGAGAUAAUACAUAAACAUAGUAGACUGUUCAUGACACAUAUCACGGUGGACAGUGUUUGUGUCCUUAUUACAAGCAACGAGAGAUGCUCGUCACCAACACGCGCGCGCACAGAUGCACGACAUACAUAUAGUAGAGACCAACAGAUGGUCGUCCCAUAUGGUGAACAAUUUAUUGGAGAUAAAUAUUAACGUAACUUGGCCAUAGCUUGAAGCAUAGCAACAUAUGCCUAUGAGUGGCAUUCAUGCUAUCGUUUUAGGCUUGUCCAGCUCCUUCCAUCUUAGCAAGCACUUCCAUUUCUACCAUCUUAGCAGCAACUGUCAAAUUGAGAUACGGAAAUCCCAUUAGCGCAUGAGUUAAUUUUGCAGUGGAAAUAGAGUACAAGAUGUCUUCAUGAUGUAAGUAAUAUGCCUGAAGUUGUGAGAUGGGAAGUGAAGUCAACAAAUUACAUUAACGGAAAUGCAUGGAAGGCCACACAUACGUAUUAGUCCAUGAUAUGCUACAAAGCUUGUAUGUACAUAUAGCAAAUUAAAUGCAUUAAUUGAAUAGAGUGUGUUUAGUGAAUUUACCAGAAUCGUCCAGAAAACAUGGGAAACAGCAAGUGUUCUUGCAGACUGCGUCGGAGGCACCCGCACGAAUACAAAGCUGACAACAUAGUUUUGCCUGGGCGGAUGCGCAGCAGCCGCACUCCGCCGCGGUGGGGUUAACAUUGAGGCUCAAGAUGACCAGGCACAUGAUCACCAUCAAAGUGGUAGUCCUCUUUCCCUCCAUUGCCUCCUCUUAGCUUGCUGCUACCUUCCUUGGUUACCUAGCUAAGUUUAUUGGUUUUGUGUUGAGAGGUGUGAUUCUUGAAUGGACGUUGCCGGCGGCAAUUUAUAGGCAGCUGAGCUAUGUGAUGAUAUGGACUAGGUGCAAAUGGGUGGUUAAUGGCAAGGAAAGGGGCGUCAGACAAAGCCCAAUGGCAACUGCUGACAUGCGAUUAAAUUCAGAUCCACAUCCGGCCAUUCAAUAAUACGGUUGGAGUUGUGGCACAGAUAUAUUAUUGCAUGAUCAUCAAGAUAAGAUCGUACAGUGACUGAGUGAGACAAUAAAUAGCCAAGUAAACUAUUUUAUCCUGCUGCAAGCUGCAUUCAUAAGUUUAUUUCACCUUUGAUCACAAUACUCUUCACACACGUACGUCUCAGGGAGAUCUCACUUCCGCUGGACUGCUCACUUCCGCUGUCGUCGGUACUGCCAAAGACAUAAGCUCACAUCUGCUAUUGCGGAGCAGGCCAAUUUGCUGCGGAACUUCGGCGACGACCUGAAGGACAUGAACUCGGUGCUGGAGUCCAUCUCAGCAGCGCUCUAGGACGCUGACACCGGUAGAAAAACGACCUUCCAUCGUCAACAAAAAUCCCGGUAGCUUUUUUACUCGGUACUAAAGAGGUUUUAAUCUCGUGCAAACACCUUUAGUCCAGAUUGCUAUUACCACGCAACCCGGACUAAAGCGUCCCCCGCGAGUUAGUAUAUAAGGAUUGCAUCCUUUACUCAGUCAGAUAUAAUAUGUAGGUGAGAUGGUAAGGAAGCUAUGCGUGAGGCUUCAGGUUGUGGGUUCGAAUCCAAGUGGGUGCAGCUGUGGCUUAAGCGGCUGAGGCACGCCGCCAUAGACAUCUCAGAUUUGCUCGAAGACUACCAAGACACUAGUGAACCCUUAACAGUAAAGGUGAGUACUUAUGAAUGUCAGCAUCCAUGUUGUCCAUGCUUCCAAUGUAAUAACAAGAUGGACUACUCUUCCUAGCGGACUCUUCACAACCACUCGUAAAGCUAUGCGUUUCUCAAUGCAAUUUCGUAGAAGCCAAUCGAUCCAACCAAGUGACUAAAUCAUUCGUCCUUUCCAAUGAUGUGCAUCAGGUUUUCUAUAUGAAGGGCAUGUCUAGCAAACCUAAGAUUUCAGAAGAAAAAGAAAAAUCAUUGGAGCCAAAGAGCCACAUAGUUCUUCUAGGAAAAAAAUCAUGGGAGUCGAGAACAUAUCAAACCAAUCAGGGGAUUAUGGUCAGCUUAAUGGCAUGCCUCCAUUCGAUGUCGAAGUUCACCCAAGCAUCAUGUUAGCCAAACAUCAAAUGUUCGUGCGUUGUUACGGUAAAGAUCAAUUGUGUUUUUUAAACUCUUGGAAUUUUUUUAUCUAAGUUUUUAUUUACACUUAUUGGAUGUCUACACAUUUGCUAGAAAACUAAAAUAAUUUGGACUUAAUUAUUUCUUUCAACUGAAGUACUCACUAAAUUUCUACCUUUUUAUUUAAGCAAGAGAGUUGCUAAAAAAAAUGGAUACGUAACCAUGUUGUAUCAUACAAAGUAACCACGUUUCACAUAUAGUCCGGCUUAGCAAACACCAUUGUUUUCUGAACAUAGCGUACAUGAGUUAACAGACAUGGAUUUAUUUCUAUUGCAAGUAGCAUAGCGUACAACCUGCCUGCACCGAUGCAGCUCAAUAUGCGAUAAUUUUUAUCUUCCCAUGUAAUUUUUCUACUCUAGUACAUAUUGAACUCCACAUUAAUGUCAUGUUCUUUCGCGCCCCAGAAGGUUCCUAAAGUUUGGAAACUUAAUAGAUAGCCAGAAUUUUUUUUAAAGAUAUUUAUAUGGAUACUUGUAUGUUCUUUCCAAACUAACAAUAUUGUUUACCAAUAUCAGAAGGAAUAUGGUUAGGAGCCAUUGCCGCAUAUGGCAGGUGAUGGUAGAUGGCGUAUGGGGUUUCGUUAAUUUAAUGGUAUAAUAAGCUGAAAUACAUUUUCUAUUUGCAAAUGAAUCAUAGCUGAAAUUGGUGGGAUUGUUUUUUUCGCCGGUUUAGCAUCCUGUGCACCAGUUCAACCGGAGGGAAGCUGUUUUUUUUCUUUGGUUUUCCACCGGUUCACCGAGACCGAUGACAAUUUUAUGGCAGAAUCAUUACUUGUUUUACUAUUAGGUGAAGAUUUUAGCGUUUAGGUAUCUCACAUUAAACGCAACUUCAACAAUCUAUUUCUAGUGUAUAAUGUAGGAGACCCCGUAAAGAGUCUACACACACAUAUAUGUUGACUAUGAAUGUAAGUUUGUUGGUUUUAUGUAUGUUCGUUUGGAGUUUAUAUAAAUUUUACAUUUUAUAGUUUUGUGUAUAUGACGAAGAUCCAUGACUUGCAUUAAUUUAGCCUUUCUUCCAACAACUCUUAUGCAUGCUGUUUCUAGGCGAGCGUACUGGUUGCAAUUUUGGUCCCCGAUAUAGUGUGAGGACUUAAGGGACACGUGCAGGUCGUAACCUUAGAUAUUUUUGCUGAGAAUGGAUGAAGAAGCAAUAAUAUACUUUGCUUCUGAUUUUCUCCAUGUCAUUUGCUUACUCUUAUCCCUUUUAUUUAUCAUUAUAAGAUGAAAAUAUUGUAAAAACUUGGCUACGUGCGGUCGCAGAAGCUAGAGACUAAAGCGUCCCCCACGAGUUACUAUAUAAAAGGAUUGCAUCCUCUACUCAGUCAUAUGUACUGUGUAGGUGAGAUGGUAAGGAAGCUAUGUGUGAGGCUUGAGGUUGUAGGUUCGAAUCCCACGCACCGCGUGCGCAUGCGCAUAUUUUGCGUGAAAAAUCGCAUGACUUGUGGUCGGCCAAGGAGAAGUGCGUGCGGCUGAGGCACGCCGCCAUAGACAUCUCGGAUUUGCUCCAAGACUACCAAGACACUAGCGAACCCUUAACGGCAAAGUUGAGUACUUACGCGUGUUAGCAUCUAUGUUGUCCAUGCUUCCAAUGCAAUAACAAGAAGGGCUACUCAUCCUAGCGGAUUCUUCACAACCACUCGUAAAGCUAUGCGUUUCUCAAUGCAAUUUCGUAGAUGUCAAUCGAUCCAACCAAGCGACUGAAUCAUUCGUCCUUGCUAAUGAUGUGCAUCAGGUUUUCUAUAUGAAGAACAUGUCUAGCAAAUCCAAGAUUUCAGAAGAAAAAUAAAAAUCAUGAGAACCAAAGCACCACGUAGUUCUUCCAGGUAAAAAAAACAAUCAUCCACUGGGAUGACACACAGUAGCGAUCCAAAACGUCCAUAUUAAGACUUUUUGAUAGCAGAAAAAACAUGAAAAUGUCUAAUAUUUGUAGUAUUAAAAGGAAAAAUAAUAUAUUCACUUGACCUUUUUUUCGUAGCAACGCACCGGUGCGUAGUCAGACUUAGGCCACGUUUGGAUACUCCCUACUAAAGUUUAGCACCUGUCACAUAGGAUGUUUGGAUACUAAUUAGGAGUAUUAAACAUAGGCUAAUUAUAAAACUAAUUGAACAGAUGGAGUCUAAUUUGCGAGACGAAUCUAUUAAGCCUAACUAGUCCAUGAUUUGACAAUGUGGUGCUACAGUAACCAUUUGCUAAUGGUGGAUUAAUUAGGCUUAAUAGAUUCGUCUCGCGAAUUAACAUAGGGUUCUGCAAUUAAUUUUAUAAUUAGCUCAUGUCUAGUCCUUCUAAUUAGCAUCCGAACAUCUGAUAUGAUACUGCUAAAGUUUAUCACCUAGUAUCCAAAUACCCCCUUAAUGCACGAUGCCUGUGCAUCCACUGGGCCUACCCUCGUGGAUCACGCGCUCGUGGAUCACGCGCACCAUGACAUGGCUCAUUAGCUAGUCGUGCUAAUCCUUACCACCAAAUUAAAAACUAGCAUGUGUUGUGUGUUUGUGACCCUAAACGACUACCACCUUCCCGAGUCCACCGGAGUUGCCAGUUCACCACUAAGCUGACUCUCCGAGCUUCAUGUCACUGUCACCGCUCCAAAGACCUAGAUCGGUUCGCUGUGCACCCCGCUUCGUCCUGAGCUAAAUCCCAUCACGAAAGGUGACCGGAUGCUCGUUUUCGAGCGAAUUCUAGCGAGAUUGCCACCACCUUUCCCCUUCCAGCCGAUCGCAGCUGUCUGAUCACAAACCGACAGCCCAGAUCGGAUUUGACCAGGUCAAUACCGGUCAAGCCGAGAUGCAUGCUGCUUUUGCAAGAAGGCCCCUAUUUUUCUCUCUUUUUGCACUUGAGGUCCUACGCAGUUCAAAAGUAAUUAGAUCUAGAUCCUUUUUCUUCUGUUUUAGCCCUGUUCUUUUAUAAAAUCCCACCCGCCAUCCUGUUUGGUAUUUUGACAUGUUAGACCUUCUAUUUAUAUGUUUAAUUAGGUUUUAGCCCUUGGUUUCUUUAAGUUUAGCUCUUGGAAGUUUAGUUUUCUCGCAGUUAAGCCCCUGAACCUUGUUUAGUUCAUAUCUUUAGCGUUUUAAAUCCGUUUUAAGAGAUUCUUACGCCCAUAAGUUCGUGUUGAUGCAUAGAUUAGUUGACUUAUACGGACCUUGCUGAUUCAGCUCCUUCAUUGUGCUUCAGAUCUCGCUAGUGAAGAAUAAUGGAUGGGCUUUGGUUGAGCUUGUAGAUCGACCUGCAGUUGCAGUGAAUGUGCUGAGGACUGGCGGUACCAAUAAUGGGAGGCCGCUGCUCUGCUUGCUACCAAGGCCUGCGACGCUUGGACGCCAUUCAGAGUGCAUAAUUUCCAAGGAUCUCAAGGGCUCCACACCACGUUCCAAGUGUUUUUUCUUUGCCGAGUGUUUUUAGCUCGGCACUUGGCAAAGAGCUUGUUUGCCGAGUGUCCGAAAAAAACACUUGGCAAAGAGAAAACACUCGGCAAAUUUGAUGUUUCCCGUAGUGAUGUACUAUUCAAACUUGAACUGGGAUGCAGGCUUCAGUACCAAAGAGAGCUCUGGGCGCGGGUGAGCAGUGAGCUGGCCGGGCAGGGAGCUCCAAAGCGACAGCAACAAAGAGAGAAAUGCUAAGAGUAAGAACGACACACGAGGUCACUUCACAUAGAUAAUAGCAGUACGAACCAUACAAUAUCCUCUCUCAGUUUCACUCCGCCUCACACACGGCUAGCACACCAUGCAUGCCGAUUUCAUAUUAUUAAUAUUAUUUUUUGGAUGGUUGUUGAAACUAUAUAUAUAGUUAGUCCAAUCUCACGUUUCCGAUUAUAAAAAUCAACGUAAAGAGAUCGGAAGGGAGAGCCGGCAUAAUGAAGCCGACGCGUGUAAUAAGCACCAGAGCCGGCAUUUAUACAAACUGGUACGAAUAGUAAAAAACUAGAAUUUAUAAAUAAAAAAAUGAUUUGCACAUCUAUGCAAUAAUUAGGGGUUAGUGGCAGGUCUAGAGAGAUAUCUCAUCAUUAUAUCCGGUUUAACGAGGAUAAAAAAGAGUGUAUUUUCCACUCAUCAUGUUGUCUUUUCGCAGCGGUACCACUUUUCGUGUGUUGUAUCGGUCCCCUAAUACGGAGUCUCCGAGGCCCGAGAAAAUAAGGAAAGUGAUAGUAGCCCAGAAAUCGGCCAAGUUUCUUUCCCCUUUGGCUUUCCUACUAGGAUUCAGAAUCCUCUUUCGCAUGACAAUCUUAAUUAUCUCCCAUACUCCAAAACUCACAAAAACAUCAAGAUUCCGCUGAGAAUAAAUUUAAGUAAAAAACAUGCACACACAGAUAAUAAUAAUAAUCAUGUUUCCAUAAAAUUGCUAAGUCCAGAGAUAAUACAUAAACAUAGUAGACUGUUCAUGACACAUAUCACGGUGGACAGUGUUUGUGUCCUUAUUACAAGCAACGAGAGAUGCUCGUCACCAACACGCGCGCGCACAGAUGCACGACAUACAUAUAGUAGAGACCAACAGAUGGUCGUCCCAUAUGGUGAACAAUUUAUUGGGGAUAAAUAUUAACGUAACUUGGCCAUAGCUUGAAGCAUAGCAACAUAUGCCUAUGAGUGGCAUUCAUGCUAUCGUUUUAGGCUUGUCCAGCUCCUUCCAUCUUAGCAAGCACUUCCAUUUCUACCAUCUUAGCAGCAACUGUCAAAUUGAGAUACGGAAAUCCCAUUAGCGCAUGAGUUAAUUUUGCAGUGGAAAUAGAGUACAAGAUGUCUUCAUGAUGUAAGUAAUAUGCCUGAAGUUGUGAGAUGGGAAGUGAAGUCAACAAAUUACAUUAACGGAAAUGCAUGGAAGGCCACACAUACGUAUUAGUCCAUGAUAUGCUACAAAGCUUGUAUGUACAUAUAGCAAAUUAAAUGCAUUAAUUGAAUAGAGUGUGUUUAGUGAAUUUACCAGAAUCGUCCAGAAAACAUGGGAAACAGCAAGUGUUCUUGCAGACUGCGUCGGAGGCACCCGCACGAAUACAAAGCUGACAACAUAGUUUUGCCUGGGCGGAUGCGCAGCAGCCGCACUCCGCCGCGGUGGGGUUAACAUUGAGGCUCAAGAUGACCAGGCACAUGAUCACCAUCAAAGUGGUAGUCCUCUUUCCCUCCAUUGCCUCCUCUUAGCUUGCUGCUACCUUCCUUGGUUACCUAGCUAAGUUUAUUGGUUUUGUGUUGAGAGGUGUGAUUUUUGAAUGGACGUUGCCGGCGGCAAUUUAUAGGCAGCUGAGCUAUGUGAUGAUAUGGACUAGGUGCAAAUGGGUGGUUAAUGGCAAGGAAAGGGGCGUCAGACAAAGCCC